rnacentral:lncRNA from 1 species
GUGCCGUGUCCGUUUUGCGUCCAAUUCGCGCCAAAACGACUCCGACUUGUCCCGACACUCUUACGACGUGUCGACAAAACUCAGAUGCUGAAAUCUUACGGGCCCCUAAACACUAGGGACACCACACAACCAAACAUGCCAAGAUGUCAAUGGAUUGUGUUUAGGAGAGGUCUUUUAAAACCCGAAUUCGAAAUCGAAAUCUGAAUUAGACCCGAACGUGACCAAAAAUUUAAAAUUUGAACCCGUACCCAAAAUAAUUAUUUCUCUUUAUCAUAUUUUAAAAAAUAUUAUAAUUAAAUCUAAAUUUUUAAAAUACAAGUUCAAAUAUAACAUCAAACAUUCAUAUAUAUUAUAUAAUAUAAAAUUAAUUCGAGUCAGGUUCGGGUUCGGAUCGGAUAGGGAUAAAAUCUAUAUCCAAAUCAAAAUCCGCCGGAUUUUUGCUUUUUAUAUCCGUAUCUGAAACCAUAUUCAUUCAGCAUCGAAUAAAUCCAUCCAGUUCAAUCUUACUUUGUGCUGGGCUUCAAGCACUUGAGUAGGCUUAGCCCAUAAAAUUUACACCGAAUUGAAUUUCGGGUCAAAAUUGAUUUUACUCUAACCCAACAAAAGUUAGCCUUUCUAAACUAGAACUGCUGAACUGGAUCAAUGCUCUAUUUGGGAUUGUGAGUGAUGAUAUUUCAUAUAUUUUCGUAAGUAAUGGCGCGAUGAACAUAUCGUACUAAAUCGGUUGAGAUAUAAUUUCUGCGCUUAAAUUGUAUUAGUCAGUAAUUUGGUCUCAAAUAAGAGAGAGAGAGAGAGAGAGAGAGACUAUGCUUGUACACAUGUGAUAAAGAGAGAAGGAGAGUGAGUAGAGGUUGCUUUCCUUCUACAAAUAACAUUAACAUCAUCUGCUGCAAAUUAAAAUUAAAAUUAAAAUUCUUGUAAUUGGUAAGAUGGAAAGAUGAAUUGAUUUGAUUUAGCUCACAUGUUACAUCACAUUUGGUGUUCUAUAUAUCCUUUGGAAUAUCAUUAGGAAUAAUGUGUAAUCCUUUUCAUGAAGAAAAAAAUAAGGGUGAUUAAAUAUUUAGUGUCCCCAUUUGUCCAGGAAUGUUUCAAAAAAAAGGAUGUUUUAGCCACUCAACUAUUCAAAAAAUAUUUCUUACAGUACUUUUUAAGCAAUUGUUUACCUAGAAUAACAACAUAAUAUAAUCUAUAAAUACAAAAAAAAACUAAAAGCUAAGAAAAUAUUUUAAAAUUGUUAUAACUAUCCACUUUGCAAAAAAAUUAAGUCUAAAAUGUGAUAGUCACAUUGCUGACGUGGUGUCUCCAACCAAUCAUAUUUGGCCCAUGUGGUUCAUCCAUCCUAUCAUAAUUUUUAUUAAAAAAAUUUUGUUGUAUUUUUACUUAUCCUGAUAUGAUAUAGCUGCUACAUAAUAGACUUUCUCCCACUUUAUCCAUUGUGUACUAAAGUUCUACUCUCUUCCCUGCUGUUAAAAUCUACAAAAUGUUAUGAAAAUAGGGAAGAACAAAGCUUUGUUAAAAAAUUUGGUAGAUUAAGUAGCCAAAACUAUGCAUCCCUUAAAAAGUUCUAUAAAAAAAAUGGGCUAAAUCUAGUAAUUACUUGGAGCAUAAUUAUUGAAACUAUCUUUAUAUGCCAAAUAAGAGGAAUAAUUUCACUAAGGGUCCAUUUGGUUCGCACUAUAAAAGAUUACUAGCAAUAAAAAGAUGUCCGAGAAUUUUAUUCCUAUUCAUCCUAUUACUAAGAAUGUGGCAUUCCUGUGUUUAGUUCGUACGGUCAUAUUAUUUAGUCAUAUUAUUUACGUUUACAAAAAAUAUACAAUUUAUUUAUUUAUUUAUUUUAAUUAAUUUUAGAUAAUACUAUCAAAAAUUUCAACAUCUUUUUAAAAAAAAGAGAGAGAACAUAUGUUAGAGAGAGAAAGCAUAAUGAAAGAAAUAGAAAGAGAAAUAGAGUCGAGAUUAGAGGAAGUAAGAGAGUUGAGAUUUUAAAAAAAGAGAGGGAGAGAGAGCUAAGUUUAGAGAGAGAAAAAAAGUUGAAGUUUAGAUAGAGGUAUGAGAUUAGAGUGUAAAGAAAAAUAAUACCAACUAGCCGGCAGAUAGAGAAAAAGAAAGAUAUUAGACAUUAUGAUUACCCCAAUUUAUUAAUAUGAGGAUGCCCACCUUCCCUCAAGGGAAUGAUAUUAGUACUUUGGGAUGAAUCUCAUUCCCAAGUAAAUCCAAUAUUAUCAACUAGAUUACUUAGUACGUUUACUACAACAGAAUUAGGUUAUAGGAACACAUGUUUGGGACACUUUUGAGUAAGUGUCUCAUUUAUGUUAAAACUUAAAAAAACAUCUACUAAUGCCUAAAUAUAAAGCCCAAUCCAACCAAAAAUAAAAGAUUACUCUACUCAACCCACCACACCUAGUCCAUUUGGCCCGAUUACAAACAAAAAAGAAAAAAAAAAGAAAAAUCAAUUAUCAUCUUUUCUUCUCUCUUCACUCAAUCCACUGAAAUUCUAGACGAAGAGCCUUUUCUGUCGUCCUCCUCCACCACCGCAGCCAACGAGGUAGAGUUUCGGCGGUUGCUAAAUGCUUAAAUAAGUAUUGGUAAAUUAGCAGCACUCUUUUAGGUUAUAGUAACACUCUUUAACUGUCACUAUAUACCUAGUGACCCCACAUAUAGCAACACUUUUUAAAAGUGUCAGUAAUUUUAGCUAGCAGCACUUUUUUGACAUGUAGCUACAUUUAAAAGUGUCGCUAUAGACCGUUUUUAUUGUAGUGGUUUAGCCAAAUACCGUCAUAUUUUUUUAUUCCUAUUGGAUUAUUAGGAAUUUUAAAAAGAUAGCGUGAACCAAACGCACCCUAAAGGUAAAGAUGAUUUGAGGAUAGCUAUAUAUAUAUGUUCAAGUAAACAUUUAUAUAAUCAUCACCAAUCAAAGUUUUUUUUCCUCCCUCUAUAUGAAAUUAUUUUUCAUAUGUGCAUAACUAGCACUCUUUUUGUCUCACUAAGCCAGGUCUUGUGAGCUUAAUUCUCUACUAUCUAAACAUAAAAAUCACUUCGAACUUUAUUAGGAACAGUUUCAUUCGACGUAAUUAUAAAUACAGUGUAGUUGGAGGUGCAUAUUGUUAGAAACACAAUAAUUGUAAUUAUGUUAUUCUGUUUGGUUGGAUGUAAUAAAAAAUGUCGCAGGUAUAAAUAUUUUAUUUAGUUGCAUGCGGUUGAUAAGUAUAUUUAUAAAUUUUUAUUAUUUUAUAUAUCGGAUUGUGAGAUUACUCCCUGUAUAUGAAAGGAAGAAAAGUUUUAUUUAAAAAAUUAUUAGAAAGGUAAGCUUACUUUUCUUUAAAAUUACUCUCUCCAAUACUUGCAAUUGAGCUUCCCCGUGCAGUUACAACUGCACCAGUUAAAUCCAAAUGUUUCAAAAUAAAUACCGAAUUUGGAUCUGCAUGCAGUUACAACUACAGUACAAUUACAAUUACGUACAACCAAACAAACCCUAGGAUGAGUCCAUGUGGCAUUGUGAUCUUUGGUCAUUAUCAUAACUCACCCUCUACAUAUUUGUCAUGCUAGCAAGAAGCACCAAUUUACCGACCGUCCCUAGCGCAAGUGGCAAAAGUCUUGGUGGUUGGUACCCGCGCGAGGUCGCAAGUUCCAAUCCUAGUUGAUUCACAUUUUUAGCUAAGUUUAUUUUUAAAUGAAAUAAACGAAGCGGAUAGCGUGCUACCUAUCUCUCGAAAGAAAAAAAAAAAAAAAAAAAAAAAAAAAAAAAAAAAAACCCCAAUUUAGUGGCACCAUAUUGCUUAGACAAGUAGCUUAAGUAGAAUGUUUUAAAUUAUAGAGAGAGAGAGUGAAUAAUGGACUAAUGGUUGCUAAAAAGGUUAAAAAAAAAAACUUCAAUUUGCAUCCCGUGAUUUAGCUCAUUUUUAUUUUACUAUUUUAUAGCUCAAAAAAAUUACAGUUAAUUAUUCUAUAAUUUAGCUCAUUUUUACUUUAUCAUUCUGUAGUUUAAAAAGUUACACUUAAUUACUGCAUAGUUAUCAAAGAAUUUUACUAUGCAUCUUAUUUAAUAAUAAAUUUUUUUAGAUAAAAAUAGAGAUAAAACUAGAAAAGAAGUUAAAUAUAAUUUUUGAAAUAUAGAAUGACAAAACAAAAAUGAGCUAAACUAUAGAAAGAUAAAUUAAAGUUUAUCCAAAAGAUAUCGGCUACAAAAAUUAGGCAUUAGGUUUCUAUAAAAGUGAAAUGAUAUAUAGAUGCCUUUCCAUGAAUGUUAUUGGAAUUUUUUGUGGGCUUAAAGGGACCAGCAUAUCCUACCUUAUGACGGGAGGCCACAUUAGGUCGAGUCAGGUUCGAAACAGCAAGAGAUCGGAUUGGAUCAAAUCAUAUUCGAAGUGGCGUGAGGCUAGUUGGACCGAGUCACAGUCGAAGUUCAUGGGCAUUGUAUUUAUACGUUUUAGAUGAAUUGAUUACAUCUUUCUAAUAUAUCAAGCUUUUGCGAUUAAUGAUUAGCAUCAGCGAUCCGAUAUUGUUUAGUGUAGAUUAUAUUCCAAUGGCUUAACAUUUUGGUGUAGAUUACAUUCUUUUAACUUAAGAUGAGUCCAAAAGCAAAAGCAGUGGAAGUAUUAAUGUAUUAGUGGCUUCACUUGAAGCCAAAUUCUAUCACCUCCCAUAAUUAAUGGAGUCUGUUUGACGGAUCCAUGACAAAGACAAAUAAACAAUACAAUACAAUGGAGAGAAAAUUAGGUUCUCUCUCUCUCUCUCUCUCUCUCCACAAUAAAACAAAACUAGGUUUUCUCUCUUCACUCUCCACAAACGAAGGGCUCUUUAUUGGGUAGGAGGUUAGGUGUACUUUCUUAAUUAGCCCUUCCAUUUGUUGGUUUAUUGUCUUAAGUAAGCUAAUUAUUGAUAAAAAAAUAAAAAGGGUAGGGGAGAUAUGUGGGCAAAUGCAUGAACUAGGUCACCUACCAAUAAUUGACAAAUUAAGUAGAUUCUAAAUAUUAUAUUUUGUAUACUAUACGCAAUGAUUGAUGGAUUAGAUCAUAUUACUAAUAAUUUUUGUUACUAUAGAAUUGAGAUUGAUUCAUAUUUAAAAAGGAUAAAUUAUAUAUACCUUUGGUCCUCAAAUUAUGUGUGACGUGAUAUUUUAGUCUAACUUUAAUUCGUUCUAAUUUCUGCUCGAACUGUAGCGCGCGAGACAAUUUAGUCAUCAAAAGUUUUUGACUCCAACUAUGUGGCAUGUGAUAUCUAGUUUUCGAACUUUUUGAAUAAUAAUAAUAUCUUACUUGAUGAUGCGGUAAAAAUUGAAAUGCCACAUUACUUCAAUAUUAAUAAUUCAUCAAUAUUUGUUCAAAAAUUAUUGAAUUAUGAGACUUGAUUGUAAUAAUUCAAAAAGUUCAAAAACUAAAGUAUCACAUUCCUAUAGCUCUAAUAAAAAAUUACAACUAAUUAAAAUUCGAAAACUAAAAUAUCACACUCAUAUUUAAGUACAAGGACUUAAAUAUCACGCGCCUCAUAGUUGAGGAACAAAAGUGUAAUUUUACCCGUAAUAAUUAAAUUAACUAGAUUGGAAACAUUAUAUUUUGAGUACUAUGUGCGAUGAACGGUAGAUUAAAUUAUCUUAGGUACUAAUAAUUUUUGUUAGAUAGGGAUAGAGUCAUAUUUAAAAGAAUACAACUACCUGUACACCACAAAGAGAGGUGUACAUCAGUGUGCAAUGUACACUCCCCUCAUUCGAUGUUACAUCCCAAUAGUCCCACAUUGAAUAAUUAUGGAUAGAUGUAGGAGUAUAUAAGUUUGAUUGGGCUAGACAUAAUAACUGGGCUUAAGUAUUUUGGGCUGGUGGUUGGGCCCAACAAGUUAUUAUUGCUAGUGGUCGGAUCGUUACAUUUGGUAUCUAGCAAGACAAGUCUCACAUCGCCUGGUGUGGGAGUAUAUAAGUUUGAUUGGGUUAGACAUAAUAACUGAACUUAAGCAUUUUGGGCUGGUGAUUGAGCCCAACGAGUUAUUAUUGCUAGUGGUCGGGUUGUUACAUUCAAGAUCGUAUACUCCCUCAUCCGAGGAUCAAAAAUUGAUAGGCUGGUGAUUGAGCCCAACGAGUUAUUAUUGCUAGUGGUCGGGUUGUUGCAUUCGAGAUCGUACACUCCCUCAUCCGAGGAUCAAAAAUUGAUACUUAUCUUGUCAAGAUUUUUCUAAAAAAUACUGAAAAUUUAAAAGAUUUGAUAAAUCUUAAGACCAAAGAGGACUUUUUUUGAAACUGACCCUAUAGAAUUUUAUAUUUGGCCAAAUAACCCUCUGAAAAUUUUAUUUGUGAAACUAACCCUCCUCUCGCCACCUCAGCCGCCACCUCAGCAUUUCUCAUAAAGACGGUGACUCGUUCACCGUCUCCUGAAGACAGUAAAUCGGUAAAUCGUUAACCGUCUUCUCUGUGUGGACCCCUCGCCUUCUCAGCAAUUCCCCGCGUAUCAGCGCCUACGCAGCACUUCAACAGAAGACGGUGACUCGUUUACCGUCUUGACAGAGACGGUGAAUCGUCCACCGCCUUAUCUAGGCGUACACCAUACGCCGCAUUCGCCACCUUGUCAGUGUUGCCCCCGCCCAAAUAAGACGGUGACUCGUUCACCGUGUUUACUGAUCUUGAAGCCGGUAAGUUGUUCACCGUCUUCUCUAGGCGUGGAACCUCCACUCCUCAGGAACCUCCACUCCUCAGCAAUUCCCCGCGUAUCACCGUCUGCGCAGCAAUUCGCCGAAGACGGUGACUCGUUUACCUCUUUAAGAAAGACGGUAAUUCGUUUACCGCCUUAUCUAGCCGACAAAUCCGAUCGACAGCGGGGGGCAUAGAUAAGACGGUGAAGUCCUCGAGGGAGGGGCCAAAACACAGAUAAGGCGGUGACUCGUUCACCGUCUUAACAAAGACGGUGAUUCGUCUACCGUCUUAUCUAGGCGUAAACCAAUGCCAGGACUUGGCCCUUUUUUUCUCCGGUUUUGUGUAUUUGCACUAAAGACGGUGAAGAGGCCAAAACACAGNCGGCUUGGGCGGCGGCGACGUCGGCUUGGGCGGCGGCGACGUCGGCUUGGGCGGCGGCGACUGUCGGGGUGCGGAGGGAGAGAGAGAUAGAGAGUUAAGAGAGAAAGAGAGCGAAGAGUGAGAGAGAGGUGUCGGGUUGGGGUAUACCAAGGUAAGACGGUGAAUUGUUCACCGUCUUCAUAAAGAACAUUGGAGACGGUGAACGAUUCACCGUCUUACCUUGGCCCUGGUAAAGACGGUGAAUAGUUCACCGUCUUAUCUGUGUUUUAUCACCUUGGCCAAAGUUCGGGCCGAAGUUGAGGACACAGCAGUUCCAUAAAGAACAUUGGAGACGGUGAACGAUUCACCGUCUUACCUUGGCCCUAGUAAAGACGGUGAAUAGUUCACCGUCUUAUCUGUGUUUUAUCACCUUGGCCAAAGUUUGGGCCGAAGUUGAGGACACAGCAGUUCCAAAGGUGUUGUAUUCGCUCUAAAGACGGGGAUGGAUUCGCUCUGAAGACGGUGAAUAGUUCACCGUCUCAUGAAGACGGUGAACCAUCUACCGUCUUCAUGAGAAAUUCGCGUAGACGGUGAACGAUUCACCGUCUUUACGAGAAAAAUCCGACCUGGCGCCGACGUGGCGAAAGGAGGGUUAGUUUUCCAAAUAAAAUUUUCAGAGGGUUAUUUUGCCAAUUACAAAAUUUCACAGGGUUAUUUUCGAAAAAAGUCCACCAAAGAGUGUAAGAUAUACAUCUCCUUUUGGAACAUACAAGCAGCAUUUUUUAGAUCAGUGCUACUCAUACAGCCUAGACUAUAGUACAAGUCUUUUCGUGGUGUAUAUUUUUUUAUUUGUUGCAUCUAUAUUUUAAUAAUUUCAAAUUUUUUCCUGAGAGGUAUCUAAAAUUUUUUUAAAAAAAGAAUAUAACAUAUUGUUUCAUACAAAGAAAAAAUAUUUAAAUAUAAGUUAUUAUUUAAGAUAAUAUUAUUUUGAGGAAGUUUCAUAUUAUAUAUAAAAAAAGUUUAAAUUAAAUUUUGGAGAUUCCAAAUGAGUCUUUAUGACUUGUGAAUGUACUUCUUUGGAAAGCUUGAUUGAGAUACAAAGUAUGCUAGUCAAGUAGUCAUAAGGUUCUUCUCUAUACAAAAAGUUACACCAUCCAUUAAUUGUUUGCUUCAUCCCUAAGCUGAGCCUUUUAUUUUAAAGCAAAAGCCAUGGCGAUUAAGUAAUUGUUAAUUUCUAAGUCAAAAGUAAAAGAAUCGUAUCCACUUAUUAAGGGUGAAAGUGUUUAGGAUAAAUUCUGAUAAUAUUGGAUAUCCGCGACAUGUAUUCUUAUCAUAAGUUCAUAACUCACGUCCCAAAAAUAAAUAUAGAGGCAAAUACAAUUUUUAAAAAAUUAUAUCAUAUUAAUUCGACCGUCUUCACCUCUAAGAAAUGAGAGGGAUGUUUAUUUAUUUAUUUUUAUAUAUUAUAGGGUGAUAAUUAAAGUGGUUUUCACAUUAAAAUUGUAUUAAUAUGUGUUAAAAUAUUAAAUUUUAUUGAACAAUAUAUAAGUAUAUAUGAGUAUGAAACUUUAAUUUAAUUGUGUGUCAAAUUUGCAUUAAUGUUAGUUCAUAUUUAUAUAUGCAUAUUAGUUAUAUUAUUAUCAGAAUAAUAUUUGAAUACAAAUACGACUCAUAUCUAAAUCCGAAUCCAUUUUAAGCGAAUUUGGUCACGAAAAUUUAGGAGGGUGAUACUAGUAACAUAAUUGCUAUUAGAGGUAGAGCACACCUACUUAGUCCAGUUAAAUUCAUUUAUGAGCCACAUUUAAAAAUUUAACGGUUGUUUAGAUUUACUAUUUGGAUACAGAUCAGAUACAAAUAUAAGAUUUCAAAUAUUCAGCUUCCUACCACGGCAGAAGUGUAAAGGUUUUUUGUAUAAAUGCUCAAAAACAGGAGAAAUGAACAUUGCUAGAUCCUUCAUGAAACUAUGGCCUUAUUUGGAUGUUGAAGUAAGAUAUCUAAUGAUAGCUUAUUUAGUAAUUAUUUAUGGUUUUACAGAAUAAUAUAUUUUAGCUACCGAACGAUUUAUCUUAUUUUACAAAAAUAAUUUAAUAGCCAAAUAUACAUGAUAUCUAUUUUAUAGUUAAUCACACUAAUCAUCUACUAAAUACAACAUGCAAAAUGAUGAAUAAUGUCCUAAUUUAUCCAAAGGGGGCCUAAGUCAUUGGAGGUUUCAAUGCAAAUUAUCAAAUUGUUUCUCUUAGUUUUACGAAUUUAAAUAGAGUUGAUAAAACAUUGAGCGCAUCUAACACAAUUUGUCUAGGAAUUGUUGGCAUCCGAGAUUUUAAAUUCGAAAUCUAAUUAUUUUACAUUCCUAACUAAUCAUAUUAUUUUAUAAUAUAUUUCCAACCAUCACCAGUCCCCAUGUCAAUUUAGUUGAAUUGGUGAGUUUUGAGGGGCUACACUUGAUUUAAUCAUCCAAAUAGCAUUUUUAAUGAAAACAAAAAAGUACUGUGACAUAAUAAAUAUACACUCAAAUUUUUUUUUUUUUCUGAUCUUACUCCUAAAUAACAAUCACUAGGCUUUUUAAUCAUUGAAAAUAAUUAUGCGUUAUACCCCCAUCCAGUGAGCCUACAUAUAGAGAGAGAGUUGAGCUGAAAUGCUUUCAGUAGUAAAAAGGCUCUAUUACAAUUCAUUUAUUUUCGAUGAUGGAGUCUUCAAAUCGACGAUCGGUACUGUCGAAUAUGAUCUAUACUCCUUGAGGCAUCUAGAAACCAAAUUUUAUUUUUUUUUCGAUAUUAUUCUCUUGUCCAUUAAGUGAGCACAAAAUGAACGGCUGAGAAGAAAUAUUCUUUAAAAAGUGAUGAUAGGAAUCUUGUAAUCAAGAUCGAGAGUAUAAAUUUUAUUCUAAAUAGUUUAAAAUUUUUUCUAAUCAAAAUUUAAUUGAUUUGGAUAUUUUUACAACAUUAAAAGAGAAAACGUCUCAUAUCAACAAUUAAAAUUACAAAUGUUAAAACCUUUUAAUCAUAAGGUCAACGAUGUCGAAAAAAUUUGAAAUUUGGUUUCUAAAUAAUUCAAGUGAUAUAGAUCUUGUUUAACAGUGUCGAUCGUCAAUUUGGAGGUUUCAUCAUCUAAAAUAAAUGGGAGCAACGAAGCUGAUUUGCUACCGACAGCAUUCCAGCUCUACUUUCUCUCUCUAUCUCUCUCUCUCUAUAUAUUUUUUUUAUUAUUGUUGUGAAUCAAAUGGACAUUUUAAAUUUUAUUUUUAAGAUAUUAAUAAUUAAUAAUUAAACCAAGACCCGAAUUCGACCAAAAACCCAAAACUAGAAUCCAAACCCAAAAUAUGAACCCGAAACAAUUUUUUUUCAAUAUUUCAAAAUAUAUUACAUUAAAUUUAAAUUUUUAAAAUACAAAUUAAAAUAUAACAUCAAAUUUAUAUAUAUAUAUAUAUAACCAAUCGUCCCUAGAGCAAGUGGCAAAAGGAUUGGUGGUUAGUACCCGAGAUCCAAGUUCGAAUUCUAGUUGAUUCACAUUUCUAGCUAAAUUUAUUUCUCAAAAAAAAAAAACCAAUUCGAAUCUGGUACAGUUAAAAUUUUAGGGCAAUUUCACCACUACCUCUCAAUAUGACUAUCAUAAAUAACCAUACAAUAAUUGGAAAUUCAUUAAUUAUACACCCUUUCAAUGCAAAAAUUUUUCAAAUUACCCCUUCCAUCUACAAACGACUGUUACUUAAACUAUGGUUAGUGUGCGGUUUAAAUAAAAAGCUGAGUUACCAAAAUGAAAUUUAGCCCUAAAAAGUUAAAGAAGGAUAAUUAUUUUGAUUAGCAUAUGAAAUAAUUAAGGGGCAAUUUAUAAGUACGCGUUUCUAAAUUUUAAAAUAAUAUCUCUAGCAUAUAUUUAUUAGUGGGGUAAAAAUAAAGAAACCCCUCAUUGUAAAAUUUUGAACUAGGAAACCUUUAGUUUUAUUUGUAACACAAAAGGACCGUUGAACUAUCAUUUUUUUUUUUCGACUUUAAUUAGUUAAACAAGCUUUUUAAUUGAGAUCACUCGCUAUGAAUUGAUAAAUUUUUAUAUUUUGUUGGAAAGAAAAUACUUCAAUUGCUAAAUUUUUAAAAAAAAACACGUUAGUUGACCAGAGGGCUAUUAUUAUAUAAAGAUGUUUUGUUAUGAAUGCACUAUCGGGUAGUACACUUGGGAUUUACUAUGAUUGUUUUCGUGAUAGGGAUUUCCAUUGAAAUUAGCACCUGUUAAAUAUGGAUAUUAAAAUUUUAAACUAUCUGAAUAAUUAAAUUUCACGCUUUUCUGAGUUACGAUCAUGUCGAAGUGAACUAUAGAUGAGAGGGUUUUCAUAAAAUUUUAUUUUAUUGUUAACAAUAAAUUUUCAAUUAAAAAAAUUUUGUUUAAGCAGAUCAUAUAAGUAAUACUCUAAUAUAGAGAAUUUUGAUAUCAAAAUAUUUUUAGCAUGAGAUAUGUGAGUUAUUUAAAUAAAAUUUUUAAAAAUAAAUCUUUAAAUAGUUAAUGUUGAAUUCUACUAUAGACAAAUUGCAUUAUAACUAUGUAUAAUUUAAAAGCGAAAAAUCAUAAUGAGAUUUAACUAUCACACUUAAUUGACUGGAUCUUUAAUUGUAAUAUUUUAGAAAUAAUGUUAAAUUAUUAUGUGAUUCAAAUGUUAAAAAUUGAUCAUAUAAUUAAUCUUAAAUAUUAAAUGUUUAAAUUGUUGCUAGGGGUAAAAUUGGUAUUUACAAAAUAUUGGACGUCCAUUUGACUGAAAGUUAAGCUAAAGGGUAUCUGUGAAUAUUUUUGGGUUUUAGAGGGGUAUUGAUGAUAUUUUUCAGUUUAGAGGGUUAUCCAUGAAAUUAUGAUUUUUCAGAGGGGUAUUGAUGAAAUUAUUCCUAAAAUUUAUAUCCGAAUUCAUAUUUAUCAAAUUUUUAUUUUUAAUAUUUAUAUCAAAAUUCAUAUCCGUUUAGCAUGAAAUAUAUCCACUUCAUUCAGAUUCGGUUCACACGAAGUUUCGAAUAUCCGUACAUAUUAGCAUUCCUACUCACGUAGCAUCUGGGACCCACACCAACGCACCAGAAGGCGCCACGUCAUCCAGGACAGCUGUAAUCGCUGUGGGUGCCGUACACUCCUCCUCGUAGGGGCCAUCGUUGAGAAGCGCUCCUGAUUCGCCACGUGUCCGGCAUGUGUUCAGGGGCCAGCUCGGCGCUGUCGCGGAUAUUUUGAGGAGCAUCCGAGGGUAAAUUUGUCAUUAAAUUUUUUUAGUAAAAAAAAAAUGCCCAAAACCCCUUAAACUCUGCAAAGCUUGCAAACAGACCCCUAAAAAAGGAAUCAUAAGAAUAGAAAUGUUUCGAUACCCAAAAUUUUAUGUGAAUCCGAAUCUGAACAGAACGUAUUUAUUCGAUACUAAAUAAAUAUGAUUUCAAAUAUAGAUAUCAAAAAUAAAAGCCUGACAAAUAUGGACAAGGAUAUGAAUUGACUGUGCCCGACCCGAAUCCGACCGAAAUCUGAUCCGAACCCGAAUUUAUUUUACAUUAUAUAUAAUAUGUAUAUAAAAUUUGAUAUUAUAUUUCUAUUUAUACUUUAAAAAUUUUAAAUUUAAUGUAAUAUAUUUUGAAAUAUUGAAAGAAAACUAAUUGUUUCAGGUUCGGAUUUCGAACUUUUAGUCGGGUUCGGGUAUGAAUAUGAAUUUGUAAAAUCUGUUGGGUUCAGACUCGGGUUUGGGUUUCGAGUUUGGAAUCCAGUUCGGGUUGGGGUUUUUGAAAAUCUGCCCUGAAUCCAACCCGUUAACAUUCCUGCAUACGAACAAUAAAUAUUAAUAAAAAAUUUAAAUUUAUUAUCAAAUUUAGUAAAUUCAUCUUAAUAUUAUUAUCACUCACUACUAUCUUUCUAAACAUAUAAAAUUAUUAUAACUACAAUUUUAAAUAUAUAAAAUUAUCACUAAUGUUCCUUUAAAUUUCAAAUCAUAUAACUCAAACUGUAAACUCUUUUGUAUAUAUAAGGGCACUAGUAAUAUUUUUCAAUUUGAAAAGAUAUUUGUAAAAUUACAUCUUUUCACAAGGGUAUUUAAAUAAUAUUUUUUAGUAUACUUUUUUUAAAAAAAAUGACAAAAACGAAUGGGUGUAAAUUUUUUUUUUUUUUAAUUUAUACAAAUUCUCUUUUACAAUAUUAUGAUAUCAUUAUUUAUAUUCAAAAAUAUUAAUAAUUUAAUAAGCUACUUAAUCAUACGUCAUGUUGACGUCAUUGUGUGCGGAAUCUUAAACUCAUCGUGGAACAUUGGACAAAAAUUUGGUGGACAUAGUCUCCAAACAUAAUAGUUUGGAGAUUGUCCGGAUCUGCGCCAUGUGGCAAGCAAUAUCCAUCUCAGCCGUCCAAAAUAAAUAUUUUUUUUACUGGAUUAAAAUAUUUAAAAAUUUAUUUUUGUUGGACGAUUGAGAUGAGCUCGAUAUGCCUCAUGACGCUGAUCUGAAUAAUCCCCAAAUAUUAUGUUUGGGGACCAUGUCCACCAAAUCUUUGUCCACAAAUAUUGAAAAAAAAAAAAAAAAAAGAAGAGGCAAUUGGUACUCAAACUACGAGGCGCGUGGUAAUAUAGGUCUUAAAUUUUUAUUUUACUAUAAAUUUUUAUUAAAUUUAAUGACUUAUAAUAAUUAAAUUUUAUAAUUUAAUUUAGAGUAAACUUCAAAUGUCAUUCAUGUGGUUUCAUUAUUUUUCACUUUAAUGUCUUGUGAUUUAAAGUAUAUAACUUUAGUAUUCUGCAAUUUUAUUCUUUUUCUUUUCGUCAGCGUCUCAGUUAAUUCUUCAUUAAAUUAUAUACAAAAAAAACUUUAAGUACUCCAUUUAUAAUUUAUCGAAUAUUCAUUUAAUAAACUGUGAUUUAUCGAAUUUUCACUUUAGUAUUAUAUAAUGAAAAAAAUUAACAGAGAAGAUAACGAAAAACGAAAAAUAAAAUCAUAGAAUAUGAAAAUAAUAUAUUUUAAACCAUAAGAUAAUAAAAUAAAAAAAUUCGAAGCUACAAGAGUGGUAUUUGAAAAUUUUUCUUAAAUUUAAUUGACUAAAAAUUAGAGUGUGGCCAGUAUAAAAUUAAUAUAUUUAUAUUCUGAUCGAUGAUGCGAUAAUUAUUAAGAUAUUAUAUAUAUAUAGAGAGAGAGAGAGAGAGAGAGAGAAUUAGACUGGAAUACUAUUAAUAGUAAAACUCUUUUUUUGCUAUCAAGUUUUUAAUCCUUGGAUGAAAAAUUAUAGGGUUAGGAUGAUAUUAGUCAGUUAGAGUUGAGUGGUCCCCCUAGGGUUGAGUGGUCCCCACUGGGUUAUAGUAUUGAAUCCAAUGGCUAGAAAUGAUGAAAAGAGUUGAUCCAAGGGCUAAAAAACUGAUAGCAACAAUGGGAUUUUGCUACUAAUAGUAGCCCAGUUCAACUAUAUAUAUAUAUAUAUAUAUAUAUAUAUAAGAGUUGGGUUUUUUUUGCAAAUAUCCCCUUGAAAAAAUUUUAUUUUGAAAAUAGUCUUGUCAAAAUUUAAUUUGUAAAAAUGGUCCUACUCCUGCCACGCAGGCGCCACGUCAAUGCCACACGGACAGGACUGGGACCGGUGUGUUAAGUUGAACACGGUGAACCGUUCACCGUAUUCAAACACGAUCAAUGAUUCACCAUAUUUAAUUAAAAAUUAAACACGUCAGUCCUGCCGGUGGCGCUGACAUGGCGCCUGCGUGGCAAAGACAUGAUCAUUUUUGUAAAUUAAAUUUUGACAGGACUAUUUUUAAAAUAAAUUUGUCCGGGUGCUAAAUUGAAAAAAAAAAGCCCAUUAGAGUUUCUCUCUCUCUUUCUUACACAGUUCCACUUCCACUUAUUAUUAGACCUUUUAAAAAGCCUUGUUUGAGCCACUCUUUGCUCUUAAGUCUUAACCACAGAGUUUUUUUUUUUUUUUUUUUUGCCCUUUUCAUGAGAUUUCUUUUAUAUUAAAUUUAACAUCUUCUCCUUCCCAAACUUCUCUUAAAUUUAAUCCCAUCCUAUUUCUAAUUUUUGUUUUUUUUUUUCUUUUUUUAACAUAACCACUCUUUUAUUCUUAGUGCAUGAGUGUUUUUAUUAUUUUAUUAAUUUUCCUCUAAUAAGUUUCCAUGUAAUUCCCGUUCCCACUUUGAUUUCUUCGUGAAAUGUUCCCAUCGUUUUCCACCGCUCGAUUUUUCCCACCAAUAUAUAUGUAGUGUACUUUGUAGUAGUAGUAGUAGUGGUAAGGUUAUAGGCCAAGUUGCGAGAGGUGAAAAGGGGAGGGCGUUUUUUGCAAAAAAAAAAAAAAUGGUGUCGAGAUCUUACUCGAACCUUCUAGAGCUGGCCUCCGGCGAGCCCCCCUCCGUCGGCGGCCUCCGCCGCCGCCUCCCCCGCGUCAUCUCCGUCUCCGGCGCCCUCUCCGACCCCGACUCCUCCUCCUCCUCCGACGACGACGACGACCACGACGGUCAUGGCGCCUUCCCCGCUCCUCCUCGCCCCCGCGCCAUCGUCGUCGCCAACCACCUCCCCAUCCGCCUCCUCCGCCGCCGCGGCGGCUCCCCCUCCUCCGGCGAAGGAGUCGCCGGAGACGGGGGAGGAGGAGGAGGAGGAGGAGGAGGGUACGAGUUCGCGUGGGACGCGGACUCGCUGCUCCACCAAAUCAAGGACGCGAUCUCCUCCUCCUCCUCCUCCUCGCCCUCCUCGUCGUCGUCGUCGUCGGAGAUGGAGAUAGUGUACGUGGGGUGCCUGCGGGAGGCGGAGGAGGUGGCGGCGGAGCAGCAGGAGGCGGUGGCGCAGAAGCUUCUGGAAGAGUUCCGGUGCGUGCCGGCGUUCGUGCCGCCGGAGCUCUUCUCGCGCUACUACCACGGCUUCUGCAAGCAGCACCUCUGGGCGCUCUUCCACUACAUGCUCCCCCUCUCCCCCGACCACGGCGCCCGCCGCUUCGACCGCUCCCUCUGGCAGGCACGCAUCUCUCCCACCCUCAGAAUUUGGAAUAGUCUUAUAUAUAAAAUAUAAUGAUAAUGAUAAUGAGACUCAAUCUCUCUUAAUAAUCCGGCCUUAUCAUUUUGGGCGGUGAAGAAGGCUAAGUGUGCUAGGAUUAGAAGAAUCAAUAAGCAGCCGAAAGUGUGAGAUGAAUCUCGACUCUUACGUUAGGGCGGCUCCCCGGUUGACGGCCGUCAUGGGUAGAGUGCGGCUUUCCAAAAGGUGGGCUAAUGCUAGCGAGACAAGUCUUACAUCGGCUAGGAUUAGAAUAGUUUUAAGAUGGAUGACCUCUCUAGAAAGUAGGACUUUACACGGAGCCAAUCAGCAGCCGAAAGUGUGAGAUGAAUCUCGACUCUAAGUUAGUGUGGCUUCCCGGUUGAUGACCGUCGUGGGCAGAGUGCAGUUCCCCAUAAGGUGGGUUAAGGCUAGCGAAACGAGUCCUACAAUGGCUAGGAUUAGAAUAGUUUUAAGAUGGAUGACCCCUCUAGAAAGUAGGACUUCACACGCGGCUAAUCAGCUGUCGAUAGGGUUAGGGCGGCUCCCCGGCCGGCCGACGACUAGCGAAACGAGUCUGACAUCGUCUGGUGCUUAUGAGUGUGCUUAAGCUUACUAAGGACGUCAGAGAGCUUAAAGGGGGAGGAAUGUGAUACCUGUAGGAUUUGAAAUAGUCAUGCAUAUAAGAUAUAAUAGUGCUAAGUAUCUUAAUCCGGAUAUAGUAUUUUGGGCGGUAGUUAGGUCCAAGAGGUUAAGAGGGUUGCGUGCUGGGGCUAGAAUAGUUCUAGGAUGGGUGAUCCUGCAAAAAACGGGGUGUAACAUCCUACGAAUUAUUCAUGAAUGAAUUAUUUGAAGAAUGUUGGAAAAGAAAAUAUAAUUUGAAGAAAAAAAAAUCUCGGAAAAUAGUUAUCCAGAAGACGAAAACCAUGGAAUGGUGUUUUCCAUGGAUAAUGAACUAAAAGGUUGGAUAAUAACGUCAAAAUGGUCAUAAGUCAUGUUAAGUUCCAUAAAAUGUAACCAAAAGAAGCAGAUAGAAAAACCAUAAGCUUAGUGGAUAGAUAUAUUAUUAUUUAUAUUAUUAACAAAUGUUAUCAUCUUUUAUUCAUCUUCAAGGGAAUUAUUUGUUCUCUCUGUUUUGCUAUUUUUUCUAUUGUAUUUUUGAUAUAGGAAUCUGAACUUCGAAAAGUUUUAAUCAGACUACAUAAUCUUGCGCACUAUUUGUAACAUUUUGGUAAAUUACAACAUCUUUCUUUACAAAUGUCACAGAUACUGAAAGGUUAUGUAGGAGAAUCAAAACUUGCAUAAUUCAGAUAAGUCUUUCGAAAAUAAUCUGAAAUUUAAGUAAUAAUUUGGGAACUUUGUCAUUCAGUAUCUUUAUUUCAGAUAAGAUCAUUUUUUUUGCGUUGUUUUUAUGUUGUAUGCUUGCAUUUUGUCAGCCAAAUUUCUUCUGAUUCUUUUGCAAAUUCGUCAGCAUAUUUUUCUGGAAUUUUGAGAUUUUUUUAAACUAUGCGGAAUUUAUUUAUUAUGAAUUCUGAACUUGUUUCUAUGGCGGCAGGCCUACGUGUCGGUUAACAAGAUAUUUGCCGACAAGAUAUUGGAGGUCAUCAAUCCCGACGACGACUUCGUCUGGGUCCACGACUACCACCUCAUGAUCCUCCCCACCUUCCUCCGCAAGCGCUUUAAUCGGGUCAAGUUAGGGUUCUUCCUCCACAGCCCCUUCCCCUCUUCGGAAAUCUAUAAGACAUUGCCCGUCCGCGAAGAGCUCUUGCGGGCAAUGCUGAAUUCUGACCUGAUCGGGUUCCAUACGUUCGAUUACGCCCGGCAUUUCCUCUCCUGUUGUAGUAGGAUGCUAGGGAUUCCGUACGAAUCGAAGAGGGGCUAUAUUGGAUUGGAAUACUACGGCCGAACUGUAACAAUUAAAAUCCUCCCGGUCGGAAUCCACAUGGUCCAGCUCAAGUCGGUGCUCGGGCUCCCCGAAACCGAGGCGAAGGUGGCGGAGCUCUUAAGAGAAUUCCGUGAUAAGGGGAAAGUAAUGCUACUCGGUGUGGAUGAUAUGGAUAUAUUUAAAGGAAUAAGCUUGAAGCUACUAGCCAUGGAGGAGCUGCUAAAGCAGCACGGGGAGUGGCGGGGGAAGGUGGUGUUGGUCCAAAUUGCGAACCCGGCACGCGGAAGAGGGAAAGGCGUAACGGAAGUUCAAGACGAGUGCUUUGCGAUGGUUAAGAGGAUCAAUGAUGCUUACGGCGGGCCCGGUUACAAGCCGCUCCAAUUUUACGAAAGAGUUGCUUACUAUGUAGUCGCCGAGUGUUGCUUAGUGACUGCGGUGAGGGACGGGAUGAAUCUUAUACCGUAUGAGUACAUAAUUUCUCGACAAGGAAAUGAGAGAUUAGAUACGGUUUUGGGUUUGAAUUGUUCUACGCCGAAGAAGAGUAUGUUGGUCGUCUCGGAAUUUAUUGGAUGCUCGCCUUCUUUAAGUGGGGCUAUUAGGGUUAACCCGUGGAAUGUAGAGGCGGUGUCCGACGCGCUGGAUUAUGCUUUAGAGAUGUCGGAACCGGAGAAGCAGCUGCGGCACGAGAAGCACUUCCGGUAUGUUAGUACGCAUGAUGUUGGCUAUUGGGCGAACAGCUUCUUGCAAGAUCUGGAGAGGAUCUGUAAAGAUCACUCAACAAGACGGUGUUGGGGGAUUGGCUUCGGGCUUAGGUUUAGGGUUGUGGCCCUCGAUUCAAGUUUCCGAAAGCUAGCCAUGGAGAACAUUGUUUCAGCUUAUAGGAGGACGAAAAUGCGAGCUAUUUUAUUCGAUUACGAUGGUACCUUGAUGCCACAAGCAAAUUCAAUCGAUAAAAGCCCUAGCCCUAAGUCGAUCGAGAUAUUGAACAGCUUGUGUAGAGAUAAGAACAAUGUGGUCUAUCUUGUUAGUGCGAGAAGCCGAAGCACUUUGAGCGAGUGGUUCGCUUCCUGCGAGAAUCUCAGCAUUGCUGCCGAACAUGGCUACUUCCUAAGGUAUUUGACGAAUUUAAUACUAUAUAUAACCUGAUUUGCAAGGCUAUAUAUAGAUGUGUAUAGAUCAUUCUAGUUGAGUACUUAGAUUGUAAAUUCUUGUGCCUUGUAAUUGACCUAAUUCACUUCUACUUUUAGGUCAAGGAGAGAUGCAGAUUGGGAGACUUGUGUUCCUGUGGCGGAUUGUGGUUGGAAACAAAUUGCGGAGCCCGUCAUGAGAUUGUACACGGAAACUACAGAUGGUUCGACUAUCGAAGACAGAGAAACUUCGCUUGUCUGGUGCUAUGAAGAUGCCGAUCCGGAUUUCGGGUCUUGUCAGGCAAAGGAGCUUCUCGAUCAUCUCGGGAGUGUGCUCGCCAAUGAGCCGGUUUCGGUAAAGAGCGACCCACACAUUGUCGAGGUUAAACCGCAGGUUAGACUCACUUCUUUGAGGAUAACUAGCUUCUCAAGUUCAGGGCCUCAUUUUGGCCCUUUUGGAGCUUCUGUUUGUAGUAGUCCUAACAGCAGCAGCUUUUCCUUGUAACCCCUGUUGACAGCUUCUUGUUGCAGCUAAAAGCAGAUAUCUGAAAUUGGUUCUGUUUUGAGCAAUAAUGCCUUCUGUCAAAGUUUAGAGCCUAGUUUGGGCCUGAUUAGAGCUUAUGCCGAAGUGCUUUUUCGGUAUAGCUAUUGGAAGCCCUAGCAGUUUUUCAUCGUGAUAUCAGUGCAAAUCGCACCUGGGGCACCCAACCUUUUCAGAAGGUUGUAAUUUGGUCACUGACCGUUCGAUUGUUACUGAUAUUUGCAUUUGUUGCAAUUCAUUCCUUGUAAAAGUUCGUCAAGAAGUUGUUUUCUUGGCGGUGACGGUUGAGAGUGUAUCUCAAUCCAAUUUGAUGGAGGAAUUUAACAAAAGAAAAAAUGGUACGAUUGCAACAAAAACGCAACAGUCGCAGACCCAUGCUGAAAUGUUGAGGAUUCUUGGUGCAAUUCACAUGUACAGUCUUCCUCAGCAGCUUCUCCCUGCGGCUAAAAUCAGAAAUUUCAUCUUCUGAGUUUGGGGGACAUAAAAGCUAAGUUGAACUUUCCUUCGUAGCCGGAAGCUCCAUAUUCUUUGUCUGCCAAAUAUCCGCCAUCUGCUUUUUGAGUUGAGAAGCUGUUCGAGAAUCUGUGCCGGCUUCUUGCUCCUGCAUUUGAGACCCAAAAGCUCAUUUCUACUUCCCGUCGCAACUAUUCUGAACUUUUUAUUUACAAACACGUGGCUUCUACUUCUCUCAGGCUAAAAUACACGCGUAGUGAGAACUUGCAUUUUUCCCUGCAGGGUGUGAGCAAAGGCCUAGUAGCACAUCAUCUGCUCGCGACCACGAAAGAGAGGAGCUUAUUGCCGGACUUUGUGCUUUGUAUUGGGGACGACAGGUCGGACGAGGAUAUGUUCGAGGUCAUAAGCACCGCGGCCGAGGGGAGUUCCCUAACGCCCACGGCCGAAGUGUUUGCGUGCACGGUCGGUCGGAAACCCAGCAAAGCAAAGUAUUAUCUCGACGACACGGCCGAGAUAGUUCGGCUUAUGCACGGGCUAGCUUCUGUCUCAGAACAAGCUCAUUUAAGCUCACAAGCUCAUUUAAGCUCGACGCCGGAGUAAUACUCUUCCUCAUUUCUUUUCGAUUUUUUCUUUUUUCCUCUGCAUUGGCUUGUAAUUGUAUUGUAUCCUCUUUACCCGUAUCUACUUGUAUGAGUUAUUAAAUCAGUUUUUGAUGUAUAUAGAUUGCGCUUUUCAAGCUAUUGGUUAUUAUUACUAAAAAUGUAAAAGACAUUUACUUUUGAUUUUUGUGGUGAAAAAUAUGUUUAGAGAGCUCUUUGUAGGCUGUUUUAUGUGGAUGAGCAAAACAAAUGGUGUUUAAUUGUACCUGGUUCUGGUUGCCUCUGUAAUAAUUAUUUUCGCGCUCGAAGUAUGGAGGGAAGUUUUGAAACUAUUGCUGUGAUGGGAAGCUGAAAUAAGGCAGUUAGUGCUUUUUCGAACAGCGCUUCAGCGAAAUGUACUUCUGAAGAAGAUCAAAUGGAUCUAAUAGGGAGGUCAGAGGUUGACAUUGUUGAGUCCAAUUUUGUCGAAUAAUUCUACUGUGAUGGGAUUGUGGAAUCACACUCAAGAGGUUGGGAUUAAGGAUUUAAAUAUAAAUCGGCACAGGCCGUAUCUAUCGUGCUGUAGCGUAUCAACAAGAUAUUGGUACAAUACAGCUUCUAUAUCGAUGGUACGACUUAAAACUUUAUAUUCUUAAAUAAGUCAGCAGUUUUCUCAAUAAAAUUUUAAAAAUUUAAUAAAGAUACAUAAUAAAUAAUUAGAGUACGUUGUUUCUAAAGAAAAUAAAUACUUCUUAUCAUUAUGUAUCGGCACACAUGUGUUUUUUGUGAUCAGCACACAUCGGAACCGUCCGGCACGCAUUGCACUGUAUCUUAUCGAUAAGUUUACAACAUGAUCCCAUGCGGCCAUGCCAUAGCAUUUAAAUUCUUGAUUGGGAUUGAACUGAAUCGGAUUCUAUACAUACUAUUUUAUACCCUCUCAGCAUCAUUCUCUCGUUUAAUUCUAUCCGAUCUAAUUCGGGGGGCAGCGGAUCAGACGCGUCGACUAAUCUAAAACUCAUGGAAAUCAAUAGGUUAAAGAAUUUUAACUUCUAAAAAAUGCGACAAGUUAUUUGCUAUGCAUAUCAUUAAUUCGCUGCUUCUUUUCGUACUCGUGAGUAACUGUUAACUGCUCCUCUUACCAUCUAUAAAUAAACUUAUAUCCAUUGAGAUCUUACUAGUAUGAAUUUCUUGCUGCUAUACUACUAAAACCUACUAUUCCUCUCACUAGUGUCUCACUCUAACAAUACUGAGGUGGAAUUAUGAGCCCUUUUUUCUUUUUUUGGGAAGAUGCCUGCAGGUAGGGCCGGCAAUCCAACUCGCGAGCCAGUUCGUGCCCAGCUUGAAAAUGAACUCGAGAUCGAUCGCUCGUUUAAUAAACAAGCCAAACGCGAGCUGAAUUUUUCUGCUCGAAAUCUUAGCGAGCUAAACACAAACUGACCCCAACUAGUGUUUGCCUCGUUGGCAGCAGCCCUACCCGUAAGCCACAAGUCACACAUUUUCCGCUAAAACAAAAUUCGAACCUAGGUCUCUGAAUCGGAUGACGAGAAAACCAACCAACUAAGGUAGACAGUAAUUUUGUGAUUGCGCUCGUGAGAUGGUACAUCAGGCCCCCACCAUAUGUUUCCCAUCAGCAUGACAUAUUAAUUAUUAAUUUCAAUAAAUAUUUAGAUACAAAUAAUUAUAAAAUAAUAAAACACGAGAACCCAUCUUCAGAACAAAACAAGAUCAAACACUGUUGACACUACAAUCUACUAUACGAUAAUAAAAAGAGCAUUAAUUUACCGACCACCAUUUAAUCGAAGAUCAAGCACGGCCAGAUCAAAACCGGAACAGUUCACAGAUUCAGAAUGAUGCGACUCAACAGUUCAAUUUUAUCAAUCAACAUCACUGUUCUUGAGAAGAUUCAAGUCCCAGCUUUGAUUCAUUUCAACAUCUUUCUACAAAAGGAGCUGAACAAGUAGCAGAAAACUCUUAGCGAAGAACAAACCAAAAAACACAGAUUAUUGAUGAGCUUCGUCGUUUUCGAGACUAUAAACAAUUCAAUGAAAAACUAUCAUUUAGCCUGUAUCGAAUUUCUACAGAGCACAUCUUAUACAAUGCCACAAGAGAUUUCUUCUUUACGGAGAAGGAUAAAUAACCGAGAUGGUAAUGAGAGAAAAAAAAAAAAAAAAAAGGAAAGGGAAAAAAAGAAAAAAGGAAACUGGAAAUUCUCACUCUCACUCAUUAACAGCUACCUUGGAUUCCACAGAGCAUCAUGCCAACCAAUCCCUGCAAACAAAAGAGGGAAAAAUAAAAGAAAAAGGGAAAAAAUUUUAAGUUCAAGGAAUUAAGAGUUUGAAAGAUAAUCAACAUGCCCCGACAAUAUGAACAAACAAAAUAAACCAAAUCUCUUCAUUAUCCAAUUUUGAUAUAUGCAUUGAAUGCAAAUAUAGAUGCAUACGUCAAGCCUCGUCUUCGGUUCAUUCACGAAAGGGAUUAGCGAAUUAGAUUCUAAAAACCUUAACUGAAUUAUAAAUCAAAAGAACCCUCAAUAUAAAGCCAUUACGAUAACUAUUACCAAUAAUAUGGUCUUUUGCUCAAUAAAUUUCUAAUCUUCGUGUAAUACAUGUGAUUCUAGAAGUGUUUAAUGAAGAAAUUGUAUGGCUAAUUAUUACGUAUACCAUUAAUUAUGAUAUCACGUAUUACGUCAUCAGAGGACCAAAUAGAUGAUACUAGCUAUGAGUUAGCGAAAAAUGAAUGAAAAUACACCUUCAAAUAAACACCAAACAGGCCCAUUACACAAGUUACGACCUUGAGCAAAUCAAUGUGGCUCCAUUAGGACUAACUACUACUGACUAUUAAUUAUUAAGAACUAGUAUCCUCUACCUGUAAAUGAGAAGGUUGAUGACAAGAAAAAAAAAAUUAUAAGCAUUUUAAAUCACCUAAGAUAUAAAAAGAGGGUCGAAUAAUGUGUUCUACGAACGAGGGAGAAGAGUAAAGUCGACAGAAACUAAUAAAGCAAAAGCAUGUAAAAGCAUUGCCUCAUUACCUACUUACAAGAGGAACUCGCAAACCCCAUCAAGCAUUGUGUCUGCCACUCUAAAGCUGUCCAUUAAAUCCAAAAAUAUCCGAGCUCAAUAAAUCUCCACCAUUACUAACGAAUGUAUUGCCAUGAGUGAAGCUGCUUGUGGGAGAUUCAAUGUCAUCCACCGCAAAGCGGCUGGGAAUGCAGGUGCCUUUACCAACAAAACCAAGUUUCCUUUUCUGCCCUUGAUCGUCCAAUUUCCCUGAAAUCACACUAGAGCCACUGCCAGGAACAAUAUUCCCGUCCGUAGAAGUUGACAGGGGUGCAGAUGUUAAUCCGGAAAUGCCUUCAUCCACGAAUUGCCCCACACCAAAUCGAGUAUUCUUUGAUUGAAACGAAAGUAAGUUGCUGUCCGCUUUAGCGCUUCCGCUGUUAUAGAUAGAGUAUUGCCCAAGCGUGGUAGGGUUAUUCUCAGGCCGAAGAGUUGCUGAUGGUUGAGAGGAGAUUAAAGUAGAGUUUCCCUUCAUGAGAAAAGGGCUGUUUCCUGUAUUAAAACUAGUCGAUGCUUGAGAAUAGGCUGAUUUACAAUUGUGAUUAAUGAUGCCAGGAUUAUUCCCUCCUUGAAGAUUGGCCAACGAGUGAGCAACUACUGUGGAAUUCUGGUUAAGAAGACAUGAAUCGUUCCCUCCUUGCAAACUGGUUGAUGGUUGGGAAGGGACAAGAAGAGGAUCCUGAUUCAUGGAAAUUGGAAACAUCGGUGCUUGAGAAUUUGUUGAUGAUCCAUUGAAUAUAACUGAGUUAUUAUUUAGGAACUGUUACAUAUAUAUAUAUAUAUAUAUAUCCCCAUAAAACAUCUGUUUAUAAGCAUACCCCUGUAAAAUCAAAAUUUUCAUAUACACCCCUUAAACUAUAGCUUUCUUAAAAAGAAUACCCUUACCUAACAUGGAGUCAUCAAUUCAUUUUCUGUUGUUCAAGGGGCGGGGAUUGUAUUAAGGAAGUUCUAUAAACAGGAGGGAUUUUGUAAAUUUAAAGGUGUAUAUGUUAGAAAGUAAGACUCUGAAGAGCAUAUACCAAAACUGAGAUUUUGCUCAGAUUUUGUAGGUAUAAAUAUGUACUUAAGGGUGCGUUUGAUUCGCGCUAUCUUUUUAUGAUUCCUAGUAAUCCAGUAGAAAUAAAAAAAUAUGACGGUGUUUGGCUAAACGCACUAAGUAAUCUAGUUGAUAAUACUGGAUUCACUUGGGAAUAAGAUGCAUCCCAAAAUACUAAUCUCAUUCCUUUAAGGGAGGGUGGGUAUCCUUGUAUUAAUAGAUUGGAGUAAUUAUAAUAUGUCUAAUUUCUUUUUUUCUUCCCACCUGCCGGUUAGUUAGUAUUAUUUUUCUUUACACUCUAACCUCAUAUCUCUUUCUAAACUUAUCUUUUUCUUUCUAAACUUCAACUCUUUUUCUCUCUCUAGAUUAAACUAUUUCUCCCCCUCUUUUUCUAAAAUCUCAACCCUCUCAUUCUCUCUAACCUCGACUCUAUUUCUCUUCCUAUUUCUUUAAUUAUGCUCUCUCUUUCUAACCUAUAUCCUCUCUCUCUUUUUUCUAAAAAGAUGUUGAAAUUUUUUAUAGUAUUAUUUAAAAUUAAUUAAAUAAAUAAAUUAAUUAAUUGUAUAUUUUUUGUAAUCUUAAAUAACAUGACUAAAUAAUAUGACCGUACGAACCAAACACCGAAAUAUUACAUUCUUAGUAAUAGGAUGAAUAGGAAUAAGAUUCUUGGAUAUCUUUUUACUCCUAGUAAUCUUUCAUAGUGCGAACCAAACGCGCCCUAAAAGUAAUCUUGCAGGCGCAAACGUCUACAAAAUAUAUUUCAAAUACUAAUAAAUAUAGAACUUACACCUACCUGGAACGUAUCCAGUGUCUGAGAAGGAAGGAUGAGACAAGAAGGUUGCACCUUUGUUGAGCUGAGGGGCUCAGAUGUCAAGCUAUUUGUCUGCAAUUGUUGCUGUUGCUGCUGCUGUUGCUGUUGUUGUUGGAAAAUUUGGCUCAACAUGUUGCUAUUCCUUGAAUUACUUAAAGAAUCUUCAAAAUUAAGGUUAUUAGAGCAAUUUGCAAAAGAAGUCAUUCCUCCAACAGUUACACUGGAUUGAGUGGGGAAAUGUUGGGCCACGCUCGUCUGGCACUUAAACAGAGGCUGGCCAAAUGCUAUUUCUCUUUGUACAGGAACUUGUCUCGCGGGUUGCCGAUACAUUGGUGAAACUUGACCUAGGAGCUCAUCUUGCAAGGCAGCUAGGGUUUGUGGAGGAAUUUGGCCUGAGGCGGCCAAUGCUUGUAAAUCGAGCCUUCCAAGUGGGCCAAUUUUUAUGUUUGAGGCUGGGGAAGAUAAUGAGUUAGAAGGAAGUCCACCAUGGUGCUGAGCUACUCCACUUAAUCUCUUCAGGUACAGUCUGAAUUUCUGCACAAAUUCAGCAAUCUACGAAUGAGUAAAAAAUAAUUAAAAUAUGUAAAACAUAAAAAAUACAGUGGAAAGAGGCAAUUGUUCUGUACAAAUACUCAGAAAAUUUUCUAAAACACGCUUUCGACAGUCACAGUUUUUCUAUGCUUUUUAAACUUGAAUUUUCCCUCAAAAUGAUCACUACUGAAAUCUGGUCCCAUGAGGAAAAGGUAUUUGUAAUUGAAAUUUGAAUGGCAUAUAAACUUUAAGAAAGAGAAAACACCUGGAUACAAGUAUGAUUAUUUUCUGUUGAUCCUUUAUAAAAUAAACAUGCAGUUAUUGUAACAGAUGUUUGAACAAGGAGGUAGCAGUAAACUUCUGCAAGGUUUGCUUCACAAACAAGGAUAGGAAAUUACAAUUUUGAAUUGAGAGUUUAAACAUAAUAUUUUGCCCUCCUAAAUUUAGUCCAAUUCAUGAUAAAUAUCAUAGAGCACCAUUUGAUGAACAUAUUCAAAUCACCUUACGGGCUUGUCUAUCAGGAAACUCGUUUCAUAGUAAUACAUUAUGGCAAUAGACAUGCUGCCGUAAUAGCAUGUAUAACAUGGAUAACAUAAUGAGAUUCAAUGCUGCUCGAUAAAUAUCAUAGCGCACCAUUUGAUGAACAUAUUCAAAUCACCUUACGGGCUUGUCUAUCAGGAAACUCGUUUCAUAGUAAUACAUUAUGGCAAUAGACAUGCUGCCGUAAUAGCAUGUAUAACAUGGAUAACAUAAUGAGAUUCAAUGCUGCUCGAUAAAAAGCACUAGAGGUGAAUGCAGAAUUCUGCAGCUGCAGCGGUGUCCAGCAAGGAUCAAAUGCAUGCAUCCCUAUUGCUAAAUUGUAUAAUAACUACAUGCACUAGACUAUGUUUCAUGGCCAGCCUGACUAAUGGAAUAUCAACUGAGUGAAAUAUACACAUACAGUCAAAUACUGCACAAUCAAAUAGUAUACAGAACAAAGUAAACCACAGGAAAGAAAAUUUCGCACGCUUCGAAGAUUUCCAACAUAUACAUCAAGUAGGUCCACAUCGGCAUGCUUGAUGUUUUUAUUGUGAAUAUGUAAAAGCAGCCAUCCAACCAUCUUAGAUUUUAAAGAAGCUUGCACUUUACAGAACAAUUUCAAUCGAAGGAAACAUCCCUACGCAUAAUGUAAAUGGUUGGUCAUAUAGGAAAAGUGAUUCCACCUCAUCAUAACAUCCUUGGAACAUGUGCUAUCUUUUUUAUUUUAACUUAGCUGUUGGAAAGAUUGCGAUAACGACAAUCUUCUCAAGCUCCCUUGUAAGUGUCGUAAAUGUCAGGCCGUAAUUUUUUUUCUCAACAUACAAAGUCAGUAGCAAAGCAAAUGUACCUUUGGGAGCCACCUACUUGCUCCAAAGGUUAAAAUUCUAGGCUUCCUACCACAUGAUUGCAAGUUCAAGAUGGUGAGCGGCUUUUUGUGCGAACUUUUUUAAAGUUUGGGAUUAUCUUGACCCAUGAACUACUCCUGACCAAGACACUACUUUAAAUGGGACCAUAAUUAGGAAAUGGCAUCUUCUAGUUUAUGCAUCAAUCACAACGUCUCCUAUUUGUGUUUGCCAAACAGCUUGUACCGAAAAGCUAACUUCCAUUAUGUUGAAGGAAAAAAGAUGUUCUGUCCACAUUCACUGACACCAAAAAGGAUAAGCAAGUUUAGUACCAACGAAAACUUAUUGGUUGAAAUAUAUGGAUUUCUAAACAAUAAAUGAGAACAUGGAAAGAGAUAAUAAUCAGUCUCCAUCAACAAAUUCGAUUGACAGUCAAACCUGCAAAUGGCUAGCAACAUUUUCUCUAGUUAAUCCAGGAACAUUCAUCAAUUCAAGAAUCCUCUUUGGGACAGCCUCUGCAAUCAAACCAGGAAAAUUAAUUAAAACAACAAUUGAAAUGCAAUCCUAUGAUUUUCGCCACCCAAAUUUUAGCAACAAAUCCACCUCUUUCUCAUAUAUUACAAUUCGAAGUUUUCUUGCAAAAAUGAUGAUUUUACCCCUUCUUUUGUAAAAUGACUUCAUUGUUUCAGUGUUUCAAACAGGGUUAAAAUGGUUGUUUCAUAAGAAAAACAUCAUGAGAUGUCGAACUUAUUUAGCAGCCAAAAAUGGAACGGAGAUAUGUGAGAAAGUUCGGGGACAGAACAAUAAAGGACCGCAAAGAGAUCAUACUAUCAAUUCCAAGCUGGUUCACUGCAUUAACAAACUGUUGAUGAAGCUCUACCGACCACACUACUCGUGGUUUCUUGGAUGAAGAAGGGUCCCCAUUUUCCUGUUCGCCAUCCUCUUCUUCUUUAACUUCUCUUUUCUUUUUCUGAGAUUUCGAGCUGUCAUCAGCUCCCUCGUUGACAGAGGAAGCAUAUUCAGUUUCAUUGAUAAGCCGUUUAUUGCUUCCAGAAUCUUCCAAGCUACCUGAAUGUUCAUUGUCCCGAUUAUCACUCCACUUUUUCCUAACAACGUGUUGCCAUAUGUUCUUCAACUCUUCCAUGCGUACAGGCUUAAUUAAGUAAUCACAAGCCCCGUGUUUUAUUCCUUUCAUCACAUUUGUUGUUCUAGCAUCAGCAGACAUCACUGCAAAAAUGAAAAGGAAAUUUGUCACCAAUUUUUCCAGAUAGAAGAUACAUAACAAGCUGGGGCUUUUACAUAAAUAUCCCUGCAAAAUCCUAUAUCACAAAAAUAUUCCCGUACAAUCUAAGUUUAUAUAUAUAUACGCCUUGAAAGCGUAGUCUCUUGCAAAGAUACCUUAUCUUACAUUGCGGAGUCAUCCAAUUCAUAGGAGAAGUUGGUUUUAGGGUCUUGAAGAGCGGAACUUUUGUAAAUAUAAGGGGUAAAGGAUGCAUAUGAAAAGUAAAUAGAUUAAUUCAGAGGGGUAUAUGUGUAAUUUUCUUACAUAGGAAAUAAGGAACAGUACUUACUUAUAACAGGAAGAUCCAUUUCGAGACCCACAAGUUCAAGUAGCCUGAAUCCAUCCAUGUCAGGCAUAUGAACAUCACUUAUUACUACAUCAAAACCGCCUUUGCUUUCCCGCAGAAGAGUUAGUGCUCUUGCAGCCUGAGAGCAGGUUGUGACUACAGAAAUAAAGCAAAAAUAGGUCAUAUCAGUUUACAACUAAGACAGAAUUAAAAUAUAGCACAUAAAAAAAUAUAUAUUAACAAAAACCUAGAACAACUUAAUGGACACGUUGUAGUAGAACCAAGCUAGACAAUAUCAGUGACACGCUGAAAGACGUCAUGUAGGAUAUGGAAUGAAAACUUUCCAGUAGGUUAAAAGAAUAAAGAACAAAUGGCAGUUCAUAAAUUACAUUAGAAGCCACUUCAUCAUUAAUAUUCGAAUAAAUAUGCAUGAAGGACAAAUAAAUAAAUAAUUCUACACUCACAGUUAACAAAUACCAUGCUAAUAAUUUUAUUUUGAUCAGCAGAUAUUGGUAGGGGAAAUAUUUGAAACUUGUUCAAGGUCUGAAUUGAAACAUGAUUCCAGUAGCACAUCAAUGUAAUUUUAUUUAUGAGGUCUGAACUGAAACAUGAUUGCAAUAGCAUGUCAACGUAAUUUUAUAUAUGUAACGAAAGAGACAAAGAUGUAUCAAUGAAAGCCUAGAGAUAUUCUUUUCUAUUAGUUUAAAAUAUGGAAGUAUCUUAAGAGGUGAUGCAAAGCAGUGUCCGUAAAGAAAAACAUAGUUGUUUUUCAUUUAUUCCAAAGUUUAACGUUAUUGAGAGUGGUAUCAAAGCAUCCUCAAUCAGAAAACUCAAAGUAGGGGAACCAAAUAGCGAGGUUUGAAUUGAAAACUUGUUCAAGGUCUGAAUUGAAACAUAAUGCCGGUAGCACGUCAAUGUAAUUUUAUCUACGAGGUCUGAAUUGAAACAUGAUUCCAAUAGCAUGUCAAUGUGAUUUUAUCUAUGUUACAAAAGAAACCAAGAUGUAUCGAUGAAAGCCUAGAGAUAUUCUUUGUUAUUAGUUCAAAAUAUGGAAGUAUUUUAAGAGGUGAUGCAAAGCAUUUCAUUUAUCCCGUAAAGAAAUACAGAACUAUCAAAUAUAGUUGUUUUUCAUUUAUCCCAAAGUUUAACAUGAUUGAGAGCAGUAUCAAUGCAUCUUCAAUCAGAAAAUGCCAAGAAGGGGAACAAGAUAAUAUAUUAUGACCUAUAAAAUUCAAGCCACAAGUACAAUGAGGAAGUCAAGUUAAGACCCAGGUGACUCAACUAUAGAUGGCUUCGUUUUGGAUCUAGAUUAGAAUAAUUGAGCCUGAGAUAAGGGAGUGAGCUUGAUGAAGAAAAAGUCGAGAGAAGUUAACUAUGGAUCAAAAUAUAAGUGUAGAGUUAGUUGUUGACUUUCUUAAUAAUUAGGCUAAAUUACAGAAAACCCCCCUGUAAUAACCCGCUUUUUCACUUUCCCCCCCUGACAUUUAAAAACCUACACUUUGCCCCCUUGUAAAAUGAAAAAUGUUCACAGGGGGGUCACGGUGUGUAAAAUGACCAUUUUGCCCCUCGCCAUUGUUGUCUUCUUCCUGAGCUUCCUCAGCCGCCGCUUCGAUCCGCCGCUAUUUCCAUCUCAAUCGGCCACGAUUCCUCUCCAAUUUCUUCUCCACCUGCUCCCCUUCUCCUCCUACAUCGUCGCCGCCCAUCGAUUUCGGCGACAGUAGGGAGGAUACUAAGAUGGGUGUUGAUGGAGAGGUAGGCAGGGACAACGAGGGCGAAGGCGAGGUGGCGGAGGAGGACGAAAGGGAUGUGGGCGAGGGCGAAGCAGUGGAGGACGGCGAGGCGGCGAGGCGGCGAAGCGGCGAGGCGGCGAGGCGGCGAAGCGGCGAGCCGGAGGGAGCGAAGCAUCCGAGAAGAGGCAGAGGGGUAUUUUCGGUAUAAAAAAAUAUUUUUUAACAGAACCCCUAACGGUAGGGGUGAAGUGCACAUUUUUCAUUUUAUAAGGGGCAAAGUGUAGGUUUUUAAAUGUCAGGAGGGGAAAGUGAAAAAGCGGGUUAUUAUAGGGGGGUUUUCUGUAAUUUAGCCUAAUAAUUAAUCCCAUUAAAUGAUGUCGAUUAUGGGAUGAGAGAAUCUAGAGUGACAAAGGGAUCAUCACAGAGCUAAUGUUUUCAACAAUCGUGAUUAAAAUAUCAGAAAGUAGUUGCAAGCUUUUGUACCCUGCAAAGAGAAUGAAGAGAGAAGCUUGAGAAAGAUUUUAGCUCCACUAGCAUCAUGAUAGAUGCCUUUGAAUGGAAUGACAACAUUAAGUGGUCGAACUCUGGUUCAAUGGUUUCCGAACUCAAAAACUUAAGUCCCUGUUCAAGUAAACUUUGAGCAAAGUAUCCGUAUGGUUCGAUUAUAUAUAAAUCCGUAAGACUUGAGAAGUCACUUAUGCAUCAUAGUUGGUUUUAUUUCCUUGUUUCAUAAUUAGCUUAUUUUUUUUAGCAACUUCUAGAUUUAGGGGUUGUCUAUAAAAAUUCAGCCCAUAAAUAGCAUCUAUUACUUAAGGCUUGCAUAAGCUAAACUAGAAAGCUAAAUUAUCUAAUUAGUAGUUAGCAAAUAGGUCACGCACGCCGCUUUACUUAGUGGUUGGCUUCCACAUCAUGCCCAAAAUGGCCUAAUGGGCUAGCUUAAAGAAGCCAGCCACAAUAGGUCUUGGAUUAUUUGUUUCUUUUACAUACUAGGAGCAACUAGACCAUGUGCCACUUAUAAAACAAAGAUCUACAAAUACACUAGAUAAAAGUGAUGAUCUCAUUGAUUACCCACAAAAACAUUUUUUUUUCCUUGACCUCUUUCUCACCACCGCUGCUAAAUACCAUUUUAGUGCUUCUACAGUGUCAAUGACCUCUUUUAAUUCUUUUUCUCACCAAAUCUUCUUUUAUGCUCGAUUUGCGUUUCUUCUUUCAUUAUUUCACCUAUUUUGCUUCUAAAUCCCUAUUCAAGAUUUGGAAUAACAGAUCCACUAUCUCAGAUAAACUAAUUGGAUACACAAAACUUGUGAUAGACGAAAAUGAACAAACACAACAAGCGCAAAAGAAACAACAACAACAACAACAAGAAGCUGUAGAUGCCAAAUAACACUUCAAGCAUGCAAUUGCUUCGAUAAUUACUGGAAAAACCAAUAGCAUAGAGCUCGCUUACCAUCGUAUCGACACUGAAGAAGCAUCCGCUUGAGAACCGUCAAGCAGGUGACAUCGUCGUCCACCACGAGCACCUUCAACCCCACCGGGAACUCGUUCGAUCCGAUUUCCUCCGCCUCCGCCAUCGAUCCCCACCACCACCUCCACCUCCGCCCCCUUCUCUCCUCCUCCUCCUCCUCCCUCUUCAAAGAUUCUCCGACGUACCUGUAUCCGAACCCCACAUUCCCUCCAUCCUGUACGCAAAAACUUGCAGCUCUCCUCGUCCUCCCCGCCCCCGAGCUCCUCCCGAUCACGCCGCGUGUCCCGCCAUCUGCUCCGCCGUUUCCCCCCCCGCCCAGACCGCCGCCACCGGCCGAACCCCAAACAACCAACGACACCCUCAAAAAAUGCACUCUCCGUCCAAACUCCUGUUCCUCCUCCCGCGCCGCCGGGCCGCCGCCUGCUCGCCGAUGCGCGACGCUAGCUAGUCCGCCCGAGAACAGAGAGAAGAGAGAGAAGAAGGAAGAGAAGGGUUUGUGGCUAAAGGGAGGGGGGGGGGGGGGGGUUGGGGACGAAGUGUAAAAAAUAAGUCCCUCGAGGGGUUUCCUCGCACUUACUUUAAAGGAGACGCGUGUGUUUAUUUACGGCAACUGGGGAAGAGAAAACGAACGCGGCUUUCCGCAUGUAACGGGUUACAUAUCAUUCUCAAACUGACACGUGGGCCCGCACUUCGGUGGGGCCCACUUUGUCAGCGUAAAACAAGUAAAAAUGUAUGGAGACCCCUCAACUGUAUGCUAAUUUUAAAUAACGUCCUCAACUUUUAUCUUUAAUUGUUCUUUAGAAUUAAAUGAUUUUAUUUUAUUAAAUUUAUUUACAAUAUUAUAUAUUUCAGAAAGUAAAAUAAGAUAUAUUUAGAUUAUAAAAUUUGAUAAAAUAUUUAACUUUAUAUAAGUGGAGGGGCUUGAGUAAUAAAAAAAGGACGGAAAUGAGGAGCCAAUUUCAAAUAUACUAUAGUUGAGGGGUCUCCAAGCGUUUUUACCUUCUUCGGCUGUGCAUGCGUGUGCUUAUCAUGGCAACGGGUGUAAAGAGAAACUGCUUGUAUCCAUUCAGUGCAACGGUGACAUAUCACUUAACUGCGCAACGUGGGUCCCACUAGUUCUAAGUGGGGCCCACUUGUCAGUAACCCGAUCUCGGCGAAGGGCAAAAGCGGAAUUUCACAUUUUAUAAUAAUGCAAUAAAGUUUCAGGAGCCGCACCAGUUCCUACAACGUGACAAACCAGACACGAUCCACUACAAUCGCGGUCGUACGAUUCUCCCGUCCGUACUACGUGUCUAAUUCUUAUUGGUUGCUAUUUUCAAACUCUCUUAAAUACAAUAAUAACACCUACUCACGGAGAGUUAUUGCAUACAACCGUUGCACCGUGCACCGUGCACCGUAUUCGAAAGUUUUAAUAAAAAUAUAAGAUAAAAACUUACAAAUCAUUUUGAAUUUGUUUGAUUUGAAUUAAUCAAUAAUAUUUUAAUUUCAAAUUUAAAAGUAUCAUUUAUUUUUAAAGGUUUAGUUAGUGUAAUUCAUGUAAUUUUUACAACUAUAAAUUUAUUAAAAUAAGUAAUUAGUUUAAAUUUUGGAGUAAACUAUAUAUUAUUGCCUAACUCGAAUUAAACAAAUCGAAAGAUAGAUAAUAAAAUUAAAAUUUUUGAAAGGUUUGUGGACGAUUCAAGAUAGUUCAUAGUUCAAAUAAGUUCUGUACGUUUUUAUCUAAAAAGUACUUAUUUAAAAAAAAAUAGUUUAUUAAACUUAUUUUUGUAGCUUUUAAAAGAUAUAUCUUUAAUAAAAAAAAAUUUAAAAUUUCGAUUUUCUCUUAUUAUGAAUUGAAUAAAUUUAAUAUUUAAUAUUUAAAUAAUAUAGUUUAACAAUAUAAAUUCUCUAUGUAUACUUUUCAUUUUUUAUUGGCUCAUGCAUAUAGUCCAAAAUACCAUGGCAUAUUGUUCAGAUACAUAACAUGACUCUUCUGUAAACAUCUUUUUGUCUUAUCAGGCAAAAUACUAUAUUAUGUACAUUACAAUAUUAAAUAUUUUUUUAAAAAAAUUUAAUUUUAUACAGAUCCUUAUAAAAAUAUCAAAAAAAAGAUAAAUCUUUACAAAACUCAAAUUAUUAGAUUUAUAUCCCUUCAAAAAUCUCCGACUUGCAAAUAUAUUCCUCCAAAAAUUCUGGUCCGUUUAUAUAUGUUCAUACCGUUUGAUUCACCGUUAAUUUUUUAAUAGUAGGUGCGUAUUAUAAAGUUGUUUACGCAAAAAGUUAUCUUUCUUUCUCUCUCUCCUCGACUUCGUCGCGGCACGUGCAGCGUAUCUUAUUUUUGCCACGACCGAGGGCCUCGUAUUCAGCGUAGCCGCCGACAUAGGUCCUGCCGUCGCCAUGGAUAAAGAGAUGAGAAUGAGAAAAAUGACGGAAUUCAAUAUUAGAAUACAAAUUAUAUAUGUAUAUGUGGGGUAACAAAGUCAUUUCGCUCUUUAGCUAACUGUGAUUAGCUUUUUUAACUCGUGAUUAUCUAAAUUUUGGUUACAGAAGGAUAUACCUGCAAACCAGAGAGCUUUUGGAGGGAUAAAUUGAUAACUUCAGUUAUGUAUAUUUAUUAUUUGAUACUUUUAUAAGGUGUCAUAUGCAAUUAUCCCUCUAUUAUCUGAUACUUGUCACUUGUGUAAAAUUUUUUGUGCCACCCACAAAUUAUGGGGCUUUCUAGGGGCCUUUGUGUAAAAACCCUUUGUUCUUUCUCUACAGUGCAAUUUGUACUAUCUACAUAGGGAGAGGAAUAGAAGAUAGAGUGGUGUUUUGAUUGAUGUGGUUAUGAUUGGGCUACACAAAGGUUCCAUUCACAUUUCACACUGUUGUUGAGUGACAUACAUGUAUCACAGUUACACCAAAGGGGUUACACCAUAGGGAACUCCAAUGUAUUAUGAUUGCAUGAUUUGAUUGAUUGAUUGGUUUUGAAGGUUUAGAUUGAUUGAUAGAUAGAUUGAGGGAGAGGUACCAAAUUGGUUAUUAUUAUUUAGGUUAGUUAAGUAUUUGGAAAAUGCUUUGCACAUAGGAGUUAAUGUUGACAAAACUAGUAUUAAUUUUGUCUCAAAUGUAGUGUAGUUGGAGAUACAUGGAGUUGGAAGUACAGCAGUUGUAACUACAUGCAUUCUGUUUGGUUGGAUAUAGUAGAAAGGCAUUGCAACUAUAAAUAAUUUGUUUGGUUUCAUAUAGUUGGGAAAUGAUUUUUAAAAUUUUAUUAUUUUGUAUAUAUGAUGGUGAGAUUAUCUCCAAUAUAAAAAAGAAAAAUAUUUUUUAUUUAAAAAAUAAUUAAGGAUGUAAGCAUAUAUUUUUGUUUAAAUUUACUUUUUGCAACUGCUGCUGUAGUCGGAACUAUGGUCAAUUUGGGCGUAGUUCAAACUGCUGCAAUUGUGCCUCCUUUUUGUAGUUUCUACUGCAAGAGUUUAAGUUAAAUAUAUCAAACCAAACAUCGAAUUUGCAUUUCUAUACAGUUACAACUGUCGUGCAGUUGUAAUUAUAUGCAAUCAAAUGGCACCUAAAAGACUCUAUAUUAGAUAUGCUAAUAUAUUAAUACUACUCAUUAGAUUUUUGCAAAAAUUAAUUGUUUCAUUACUUAUUAGUUGUUAAUUAUUAACAAAAAAUUUACACAUGCUUUGGCUCGAAAGUAGUUUGAGUUUGAACCACAAAAUUUGACUGGAUAGCCAAUUAAUUUAAUAAAUUUUGUUUUUUUUUUAAAAGUAGAGUGCUUAUUUCAAGAGUACUACUACACGCUAAUACGCUAUCAAUAACAUUUAAGCCGAAUUAAGAGUUUUUAGUCCUAUUAUAUCUUAUAUAUAGGACUAUCUGGGGGUCUCACAUUCUUCCCCCCUUAAGCCUUCCUAAACCGACCUUGUGGUGAGCCGCGCUCUACCCACAACAGUCAACAGUAUGGAAAACUCGCUCAGUUGAGACUCACGCUUAACUCUCUUAACUUCUUAGGCCUAGCCGCCGCCCAAAAUGCUUAACCCUGUUCAAGAGUUUUUAGCCUUAUUAUAUCUAAUAUGGACUACCUCGGGUCAAACAAGUAUGCUACCCGCUUAGUUUAUUAUUUUAGAAAACUUAGAUGGAAAUGUGAAUCAACUAGAAUUCGAACUUGGGAUCUCGGAUAUCAACCACCAAACUCUUUGCCACUUGUGUUGGAGAUAGUAGGUAUUUAUCUGCUAUUCUUAGAAGCACCCAAAUUGGAUUAUACAAUAUAUGCAUGCGAUCUAAAAUGCUAUACAAAUUUGUCAGCACAUCAACGUUGGUGAAAAAUCCUUUGACAGUAAAGUGUUAGCAUUAUAUAUAAAUUUAACUGCUCUUAUUCCUAAUUACACUAUAUUUAUAAUUAUAUUGAAUGAAACAGUUAAUGUGGUCUCUCCUGCAUAUUACCAUUGUUAAUUUCAAAUAGGUUCAAAAAAAUUAGAAUAAUUAUUUUUACAGUGAUUAUAAUUAAUAUAUUAAAAUCAUAUAUAUUGAAUAAAGUUAUUAAACAAACUAUGGAGACAACGUUGACUUGUCACAUGUGGUUGGGUGGAGAUCCAAAAAGAUGAAUCUACUCCUUCCACAAGUCAAAAAAAUAAAAAAGAUUAAAUUAUUUUUAGAAAAAAAAAAUUCUACUAUUAAAGUUGGAAAAAAAUAUAUAUAGAAAGUACCUGCGGACCAUUCUGAAACGACUACCUAAUCUUUUAAAAUUUUAAUUUUACUACUUAAUUUUUUUAGUUUAUUUAAUUUGAGUUAGUCAACGAUACUUUGACUUUAAAUUUUGAAUACGUUAUUUAUCUUAGUAGGUUUAGUUAGUUUACUUCAUGCAAUUGUCACAACUAUAAAUUUAUUAAAAUAAGUAAUUAGUUAGAAUUUUAAAAGUCAAAGUGUCAUUAAUUGGCUUAAAUCAAACAAAUUAAAAUAUUGAACGGUAAAAUUAAAAUUUUGAAAGAUUGGGUAGCUAUUUCAAAAUAGUCCACAGUUCAGAUAAAUUCUGUUUAUUUUUGCCAUUAAAGAUCAAAUUUCUAGUUUUGUCCUCUUAAAAGUGAUAAAUAAUAAUCAUCAUACAAUACUUUUGAUGCGACUUUAUUUAGAUAAAUGAUAAUGUUAUUAUUGAAUAAUUUUAUAUAAUAUGACAUAUUUUUGAUAAAUUUGAGCAUUACAACAACUAGCAAAUCCGCAGAUUCGAGAAUUUGAGUUCCUUUUACUUUUACAAUAAAUUUAUAAUAAUUUAGAGGUAAUUUAUUUAUUGUUUGAUAUUCUAAGAAACAAAAAAAAAAAAUCAAAUAUCCAUUUAUAACUACAUAAAUAGUUCUCCAAUAUUAUAAAACAAUAUAUAUAGUAUCCAAACCUUUGCUCCUGUGUCUCAAUUUUACUCUAUGAUAAAGAGGCAUAAAUUAUUAUUUUUUAAAAUAUUUGAGAGAAAAGAUAUCAACUUCUAUUUUUCAUUUUUUACCAUUAUUUUAAAUAACUUUAGAAAUUUAAGAUGAUUUUUAAUUCCAAUUCAAAACUCUAUAACAAUAGUUUCAAUACGAAUUAAAUAAAUUGUCAAUAAUUUAUCAAAUUUGAUAGUUCGCAUAAAGAGAAAGAUAUAUUUUAUUUUGUUCUAAAUUAACUUUAUAAUGUAUAAUUUAAAUAAAAAAUCAGAUAUAAAAUCAAAGUGACAUGUUAUACUAUUUUACUAAAGUUUUGCUUGGAAUUUAACAAUUAUUUGAUGAUCUUGUAUGGUAACAUAUAUGUUGUUUUAAGUUUUCAAAUAUAUUUCCUACAGAAUUUUUUUUAAAAUUUUAUUUAAAGUAAAAAAGACAACAAUACCAAUUAAAGCCUAAAUUUUUAUUUUUAUUUUUAUUUUCUUUUUUAAGAUGCCCCUAGACUAUACAUAAUCACUCAGUUCCAGAUUCUAUAGCCCGGGGAGCGAAAAAUACAAAUCAAUGUAAUAUAAACUUUUAUUAUUAUUUUAGUAAAAACGUAUAAAAUUUAUUUGAACUUUGAACCAGUUUAAAAUCACUAUCCACCUAGCUCAAUUCUAAAUUCUAAAAGUGUACAAUCCCCACCCCCAUUUAAACCUUGACAUUCUCAUCAGGCUUAAGCACACUUAGCUUUUGUUUGGUUAGGGGUUAAGGGAUGGAAUAGCCCCUUAACCCUUAUAUUAUCCCCAAACACCUCCAAAAAUGAAUAGGGUUAGCUAACCCCACCUCAAAUGGGCUAUCCCGAACCAAACGGUAGCUUAAGAAUCAAGUAAUGUGAGUCUCAUCUCACUUGCUAGCCUUAAUUGAUUUUAUGGGAAGCCACGCUCAACCAAUAAUGGUCGUCAACCGGCAAGCCGCGCUCCAUUGGCUGUAUGAUCCUAACUCAGCAGAUACUUAUUUUACACUUUUGACUGGUGAUUGUUUCUGAUACCAACUGUAAUGCCCCGCUUCCUAAACGGAUUACCUAUCUUAAAACUAUUCUAAUCCUAACGCACUUAGCUUUUUAACCUCUUGAAGUCAAGAAGUUUAGUCUUAUUACGUGAUAUACAUAACUAUUUGAAAUUCCGAUGGUGUCAGAUUACUCCUUAGAUAUAUAUUUGUAUUUGCCUCUCCUUCCCGCCGUAUUCAUGUCAAUGCACUUUUCAAUGAUACAUAAGCAAGUUAUGUUAACGCACCUUCCAAUGCAACAAUAAAUUGAUCAAUACAUAGGUAGCUAAAAUUUUGAAUUUUACAUAUCGUUCACUCACGCAAAUCAAACAAAUUAAAAAUUUGGACAACAAACUAAAAAUUUAGAAAGUUUAUGAAGCUGAUUCAAAAUAGUGUAUAGUUCACAUGAGUUGUGCAUUUUUUUUUUUUUUUUUACUUAGAAAAAACCUAUAUUAUUGCAUUGGUUUAUAGUAUAAUUAAGUUUUUCUCAUCGAAUUUUGUUGUAAUUAAGCCUCCGUUUGGUUCGGGGUUAAGGAAAAAGUAGCUAUUCCAGGGAUAGAGUUAAGUUCAGGGUUAAAAUGGGGUUAAAGUUUUUUUGUGUUUGGUUGGGGGUUGCAGUUAGUCUAGAAUAAUGAAAAAUAGUGUUUGGUUGGGUAGGUGGGAUAAGAAGAUAAUGAUUGAUAAAGAAGGAUAAUGAUUGGUUGGAGUAGGUGUGAUAAGAAAGAUAGUGGAUUAUUAUGAAUAGAAAAUAGUAUUUUGUUGGAGUUUGGUGGGGUUAGGUGGGGUUAGCUAACCCGGGAUAAUUUAUUUGAGGUGGGAUUAGGUGGGGUUAGCUAACCCCACCUAUUUUUUGGGGUGUUUGGGGAUAAAAUGGGGGUUAAGGGGUUAUUCCACCCCUUAACCCCCAACCAAACAAGGGCUAAAAGAAAAAGAAAAAGAAAAAGAAAAAGAAAAAGAAACACACAUACUACAUAUAAAUACUCCUUCCCCUCCUUAUCCCUCCUCUCCUCUACCAACCCCCUGUGUCUCUCUCUCCUCCGCUCCAAAACCCUCCGUAGCGAUCAAAACCCUAGGAGGAGGGGGAGGAGGCGGUCGAAGCCCUAGUUUUCCAUUUGCACUCUCGUGGGAGGCCUCUCAGCUCGAUCCCGUCUCCACAGAGAGGUGUUCGGUAAAUCCCAAUCAAUUCUAAACGCCGACGUUAUUUUAUCUUAUAAUUACUUGAAUUUGUAGCGUAUUGGUGGAAAUUUGGGUAAAUGGAUGCAGUUUUUGCCCUAAUUUCGUGAAUAAAAGAUGCAUUUAUGUUGUAGUGUUUGGUUUCGUUGAUCUGGGGGUCGAUUCCUCGUGCAUAUGUGUUAGUUUGGCCCGGUUUCGGGAGUGAGUUCUCUGCUUGAGAAGCAGAAGCUUGAGUGCAUGGAAAAUGAGAAAUUUAAAGGUUUUUGUUGUUGCGGGAAGCAGAAACGAGCUUCUGACCCUGUGAAUAUCUGCUUUAGUUUGAAGCUUCUGGUUCUAUUUGAUGUGGGAAGCUGUAAACAGAGUUGUAAUACUUGCUUUGUCUUGCCGCAGCUUUUGCUGUUUAAGUGAGCUGGUCGAAGAAGCACAGUGACAAUUAACAGCUUUUCUGUUAAACUGCACCGCGCAGUUUUGUGUUGCGGCAGAAAUAGAAGCUUCAAAUUAGUGUUUCUUUGAGGCCUAUAACAGCUUCCACCACACAAAAAGCUCCAGGCACUUCAUUUGCUAAAUGGCAGGCUGCUGCUUCUGGCGGCAGGGUAACUGUUUCAGACACUAGCCAAAAUGGCAGUACAUGAAAAAUACUAGGAGUGCUUCUCCCAGUAGCUCUACUCAAUUGACACUUUUGCAAAAGUUGUAGUGUGAUGAAUGGGCCACAAGUAGAAGUUUGUUUUGAAACUUUUAUUGCUGUAUUGUUACCUAUUCAUGUGACGUCCCAAUAUUCCCACAUCGUAUAAUGUGGGUGAUCGUGAGGGCCUUAUAUGUGGCUAGUUUGCUUGUACUAAUAACUAGGCUUAAGCAUUUUGGGUUAGCAGUUUGGACCCAACAAAGUAUUAGUGCACGUGGGCUGGGUCGUUUCAAUACAUGUGAUAGUUCAGCCUGUGUUGUUUAGCAUCUCUUCAUGAGAGGUUCAUUAUUGGCCUUUCACCUGUUUUUAGUACCUUUGUUUCUUUGGAAAGCCAUUACAUUUCCUUUGCUUCUUUUGCUUGUGGAUUAGUGGAUUGCUGCAGUUUUAUCAUCUCUCUUUGUCUGGUUGUUCUCUCUAAGCAGCUCGGUUAGUGGGUGUAUCAGUAUGUCGUCACCUUUAACUCGCGAUUGGGUGGGAAUCCAACAGUUCCCAGCUGCCACGCAAAACAAAUUGCUUGAGAUACUGGGGAAACUAAAGGAAGAGGUUCAUGUAGUGUUUUCCUCAAUUAUGCUCUUAACAUUUAAUUAGAGGUAUAAUGUAUUGGAUAGUCCUUGUACCAUCCCAAUGUCGACAUCGUACAGUGACCAGCAAUACAUUUUCCCCUUUAUCAAUUUUGUCAUAAUUUCUUUUUUGAUGUCGCAAGGCUUUUUUCUAAUAUUCCAGUUUUGAUUUCUCUUAGAAUGUGAGCACAAUGACUAUUCUGGUGAUGGGUAAGGGUGGUGUUGGGAAGUCCUCCACUGUGAAUUCCAUUCUAGGGGAGAGGGCGGUUACUGUGAGCACUUUCCAGGUUUCUUUUCUAUCUAUAUACAUCAUACUCAUUUUUUUGGUAAUUAAUGUUAUUAUUUGAGGGUUAGUAAAAGCUUAUUGUAUUGCUUUGUAAUACAAUCUUGUAGUCUGAAGGAUUGCGGCCAAUGAUGUGCUCAAGAUCACGAGCAGGGUUCACUUUAAACAUCAUUGACACGCCGGGACUUGUAGAAGGCGGAUAUGUCAAUGAUCAAGCUCUUGAGAUCAUAAAACGGUGUGUAUUAUGAAGAAACUUGUAGGUGAUCUGUAUGCGGAUGCUCAUUCUAUUUGUAAGAUAGAAUUUAGUCGGUUUGAUUGAAUUGUACAGAUUUGCCACUUGAAAUCAUGGAGUUUGCACCUAUUUACAUCUGGAUAGAAAAUGAUGCAUGCUCUUAUGGCGGUAGCUUCAAAUUUUGCUAAAAUUUUCUCUUUGAUGCAAAAUUUCAUUUCAAAAACCUUAAUAAUUUGGCACUUUAUUGUUGAAUUUGAUUGUGUUUGAUUGUUUAUUUCGGCGAGAGCAAGAAAACAAGAUUAGGGACGUGUGGACUGUUCAAUAGUUGGAUGAUUGUUUAAUUUUAGUAUUAUAACAGGGGAUAAAAAUAAGACAUGAUUAUCUUCAUGUAUCAUCCACAUGAUUGCAAUAUUCAGUCCAUUAGAAUAUUCAUCAUGUUCUUUUUAAAUUUCUUAUAUAUACACAUUAUCAGAUAUAAGAUUCUCAUUACUUGUUCUUAGUUACAAAUGAAUGGUAAUAUUGCUGUUAGUACAUAUCUAUUUUCCAUCCGACCUUCAUAAUUUAUUCAGAGCUAUUGAUAUGUUGGACAUUCUCCUUCAGUCUCCAAACUGAUUUUCCUACUUUAUUCGUGAGCAGUUUUUCUAAAGAAAGUAUAGCACAAGCUGUUAAAAUACAGGAAUGUAUAAUUAGUCGUAAAAACUCAAAUUGAAGACACCGAUAAUACCAGAGUAUCUGAUGCAUAUCCUACACAGAUAGGUGUAUACGCAAUUUCCAAAUUGAAUGGAACUGUUACUUUGUAUUUCAAUGGCUUCUUCUCUCUCCUAAUUGCUGCAGGGAAGGCCGUUGUUGUUUUUAUUGUUUAGUUAGCAACUCUUCUGCUAUUAUUUUAUUUGCUUGUUCCGCGGCUAUUUUUAUUUUUUAUUUUAUUUUUUUUAUUUCAGGUCAUAUUCAAUCCUUUUUACUUGGCUCAUUCUAUGUAUUUUUAGCUAAUGUGCUCUGAUUUUCUUUCAGGUUUCUGUUGAAUAAGACUAUUGAUGUUCUCCUGUACGUGGACCGGUUAGAUGUGUAUAGGAUGGAUGCUUUGGAUAGACUAGUUAUUAAAGCUAUAACUGACACUUUUGGAAAGGCAAUAUGGAGAAGAUCUUUGGUUGUGUUAACACAUGCUCAAUUGUCUCCACCAGAUGGAUUGAAUUAUGAUGACUUCUUUGCCAAGCGCUCAGAAGCGCUUCGCAAAUGCAUACGGUUAGGCGCCCGCAUCAAAAAACAAGAGUUUCAGGUAUUAAAAUUUCACAGCAUUUGUCUUUUUCUUUUUUCUGAAGAAAAUCGUUAUUUUUGCGAAGAUAGGAAGCUUUCUGAUGGAAGACAGCAAUGCGUCACCUCCCAUCUCACGUGGUCUCUUUUAUAAUGGUUGUGGAGAUAGUGGAAUGACUCGUGUAAAUUGGAUGGUAAAGCAUAUUGCACAACAAUCGUGUGGUAGUUUAUAUCAAAUUUUGGUGGAAAAUUUAAAUAUUCCAUGAGAUAUUAGACAUUUAGUAGUGUCACCCUUUAAUGUGGCUGAAAAAGUAAUGUGAUUGAAAAAGUGGGUAAAGUAGUUAUCUGCGAAUUCAGAGGUUGGGCCUGUCUGGCCCUGAUAUGCCUGGAUUGGAGAAGUGAGGCUGGUAUUUCUGUAAUUUUUUCAUUCUUCAAAGAAGGAAAACUUUGAACCUUAUUUGAUAAGGCACUUAGAUGGCAAAGGAUUCAUAAUGAAGAUCACCGAAUCUCUAUCUAAUAUCUCUAAAUGGUUUACAAAAGACGCUCUUCAUCUUUACAUCACGUGUAUACAUUGUUCCUUUCUAUAGGUUAAGCAAUAGGUUUGUUGGUGUUUUGAUAUACUUUCGUUAAUCUAAAUGUGAAUAAUCAAUAACAUCUACUAGUGCUUUUACUCGCUGAAGGUAAGGAAAAGAAUUGCUGGCUUUGAGUGCUUCAUAUGACUAUCGUCGUUGACUAAGCAUAAUGAACUAAGCAUAAUGAACUAAGUUAUUUAGUAUCGUUGAGGGAAUAAGACAGUAUGAAAUUAAUUUUUGAUUUUACAUUUCCACAUCAAUGAGAAUAAGAGUGGUAUAAAGAGAACCCUCUACCGUACAUGCCGAAAGGCUAAUUUGUCUUUUGUUCCAUAUUUCUCAAGAUAAAUUCAACUCGGUUUCUUAAGUGCUUAUCUAAUAUAAUGUACUUGUGUGUGUGCGCGCGCGCGCACGCGUAGCUUGUAAGCAUGUAUGGAUAUCUCUUAAACAGUAAAAUUCGCAGAUACACUAUAAUCGUAUGCUUGCUUUGAUAUACAUACGUUCUUCAGUACCGUGCAUGUACAUCACCAAAAUUUUUUCUAAACCAUGUAUACUCACAGGUGAUUUGGUAACAUAUGUAAUGUGGAAAUGAAUAUGCACAUUUUUUUUUUCCUUAUAGAGGGAUGUGUUAAAACAAGUUCUCUAUUAGUUUUUGGAAUAGCUUUCCUGUAUUCAAGUUUCUUGAUCAGCCACUGUUGGCAAUCACUUUGCUGGUUAUUCUGAUAUUUGGCAUCUGAACAGUUAUCGUCUUCUCUUUUCUAUAAAGAAACGAAGCCUUCAUUUUUGAGCCUGAAUGCGACAAAACAUCGUGGUAUCGAAUAAUGCCGCCAAAAAUGUGCUCUCUCGUCUUGCAGGAAUCAAACAUUCCCGUGGUGUUAGUCGAGAACAGUGGGAGAUGCAGGACUAACGAUAGUGCAGAAAAGGUAUGUCUUCUUGUUUUUUCAUCGCCCUUUUUACUUGCAUUGAAAUUUGGCUAAACGCAAAAAAUCACCGCUAGACCUUCAACCUUACCUCAUCCCCUCUCCCUGCUUCAAUUUCAAUACUCAUGUUGAUUACUGAAAAUUAUGAGUGAAAAAGAACCACACGAAAAGCGAGUAAAUUGUUCAAUAAACUGUUAGAUACCUACAGUAAAGAUCACCUUUUGUUGUUUACUCUCGUCGAUGAACACAGAUACUGCCCGAUGGUACGCCGUGGAUCCCAAACUUGGUGAGAGAAAUCACACUCAUCAUCUCUAACGGGAGCAUGCCGAUCGUCGUUGAUCAGAAGCUGAUCGAGGGCCCCAAUCCUAACAACCGCGGAAAGCUUUUCAUACCCCUCAUUCUGGCUUUUCAGGUAAAAAUGCCUCCUUCCUGCAAAAUCAGUUCAAACUUCACUAGAAUUACUCGCACUUCUAUAUGAAGUAAGCAACUACCUAUUCCUGCAUUUGUUUUUUUCCUCAGUACUUUUUCGUGAUAAGACGGAUUCAACGAGCCAUCAAAGAUGACAUUGCAAAGGAAAGCAAGCCGCUUUGGGAGCUGCGCGACUUGGGCUUAGCAGAUCGCAAAUUCUAGUCUCUCUCUCUCUCUCUCUCUCUCUCUCUCUAUAAAUUAUCUUUCUAUGUUGUUGGUUUGUGUGUAUUCAUUUCCUGUGCUGUUGUGUUACUAUGAGGGCUUUAUCCGAACAGUCGUACUGCGGCGGACUACUGACUUUCUUUUUGUAAUCCCAGUCUCAUGCUAUCAAUCUUUCAUCUUCUUCUGACAGAUUGUUUGGCUUCAACUGCUGCUCUUUUGCAUGUCAUUUAUCUUACUAUUUAUAGUGUAUGAUGAUAAUAUACUAACAUCAUCGGUCACAUGUUAUAUGGGCCUACUGCUUUUGCUUGAAGUUGAAGCCAGCCUUUGGGUGUCCAUAUUCUGCGAGUUUCUAUGUCGGGUCGUUGGCGCUAACUAUUAAUCCCAAAAGCUCGAGCUGUUAGAAAUACGCAACUAAUUCACUUAAAGCGUAUAGAUACAGUGCCCACGGGGCUCGAUUGUGACUUGACCCAACCAGUCUCAUGCCACUUCGAACACGACUCGGCCUAUCCAGCCUCACGCCAUUUCGAACAUAACUCGGCCCAAUAUGGCUUCCCGCCACAUAACAGAAUGCAGGUCUAUUUAAGCCAACAUUCUAAUGGCUCGAGUUUUUUUCAAAAAUAAAGUUAAGUGUCUCACAAACAUUCGUCAAAGUUUGCCGUAAACUAAAUUUGCCCUUUAACUUUAUUUCUUUCAAAAUGUUAUAAUUGAUUUCGCUCAGAAUGCAAUCGAUGUACCUUUCUUUUGCCCUUUUAUGCGCUAAUGCGAAAUUUGCGAUAAAAUAAACCAAAAAAAAGGACUAACUAUAGUUUGUGGGCUUUCAAUGUUUACAAAAAUAAAUUUUCACUUAAAUUUUAGUUAUACUGAAAGUAAAUUUUAAACUUAAAAAUAAAAUUUGUUUUUAUAUAAAUUAAAUUUUAAUGAAUUUUAAAUAUAACAAAUAAAGCGCAUCUGGUGUAGUGGUAUCAUAGUACCCUCCCACGGUACUGACCGGGGUUCGAUUCCCCGGAUGCGCACCAUUGGAUUUAUUUUUUUUUGUUUUCUUGGCAUUUAUUCUCCUAAAAAAUAUUCCUUUUUUUGGAAUAAUUGCCUAUAUACUCCUCAUGCGUCUGGAAAUAUCUGAUCUACCCCUAUAUUUUUUUUUUUCUAAAAUACCCCUCAUAUGUUCCACCGUUAUUGUAAAAUACCCCCGCAGUUAUCUCCUGUUAAAUUAACCUGAGUUAAACGUGAGUUAAAUAUCUAUUACAGUUAAAAAAAAUUAAAUUGCCAAUUUUGCCCUUAACUUAAGGGCAAAUAAGAAAGGUUGGUUACGGUAGAGGAGUAUAUUGGAAAAGACAAAAAGUUAAAAUAUUUAAGGGCAAUAAAAAAGACAAUGAUGGUGGAAGGGUAUAUUUGAAAAGGGCAAAAUAGUAAUUUUACAGAGAUAACAGUAUUACUUAACAAAUUUUAACUCUAAGUGUAUAUUAGAAAUAAGUUGGAACGUAGGAGGGGUAUUUUCAAUAUUAGCCUUCUAAGAGGGGUAAAUCAAAAAGUUGGAAAUUUUUCAGGAGUAUAUAAGAAAUUGCCCCUUUUUUUUUUAUUUUUUUGGGAUUUAUUCUCCUCAAAAUACAUUAUUUUUCUGAGCAUACGGCAAAAUUAUAAAUCACAAUACUACUCGUACAUCCAAAAAAAAAUAUGUAUAUCUUACACACAGUAGUUUUACAUGAUUUUUUUUAUCCGGCGUUAUGCUAGGUAGAAAAGGAUUAGUUGUGAUUUCUAAUAUAUAUAUGGCAAAAUUAUAACAAAUAAUACAAUACAUACAUCUCAAAAAUGGUGUAUAUCUUACUCGUGAUUUUUUUUUUUUGUCGAACGUCACACUGAAUAGAGAAGGGUUAGUUGUGAUUUUUGGCACACGUGGCAAAAUUAUAAAGCGCAAUGCUAUUAAUACAUUCUGAAAAUGGUGCAUUUCUUACACGGGUGGUUUGUCCAUUACUUUCAUGAUCUUUUUAUGUUGUUAUAAAGUGUGAUACUACUCAUACAUCCACAAAAAAAAAGCGUGUAUAUCCUACACUCGUGACUUUUCCACCACUAACAUGAUCUUUCUUGUUGAGCACCACAAGAGAUAAAUAAGAACUAGUUAUAGUUUUUAGCGUAUAUGACAAAAUUAUAAAGCGCAAUGCAGUACAUACAUCCUAAAAAAAGUGUAUAUCUUACAUGCGAGUUAUCCACAACUCACACGAUUUUUUUUUCUUCGUCGAACAUCACACUGGAUAGAGAAAUCCUAUUUGUGAUUUUUGGCAUAUAUGGCAAAAUUAUAAAGAGCCUAAUACAUUUCGAAAAUAGUAAAUAUUUUAGAGCUAGGUUGGUAUACUAUCGGUAGCACGAAGGCCUCCGUGUUACCAAGUUGUUUUCAAUAAUCCGGCUUCUAAAUCGACGAUCGACUCCGUUAGACUUGAUCUACACUAUUGAAAGUAUUUGGAAACUAAAUUUCAUAAUUUUUCGGCAUCAUUUACCUAUCAAACGAGUAGCCUAAAAAUGAACGGCUGAAAAUAAAAAUCUCAUAAAAAAUGAUGAUAAAAGAUUUAAAUUUAAGAUCAGAGGUACUGAUCUUAUUCUAAAUAGUGAAANAAACUAAAUUUCAUAAUUUUUUGGUAUCAUUUACCUAUCAAACGAGUAGUCUAAAAAUGAACGGCUGAAAAUAAAAAUCUCAUAAAAAAUGAUGAUAAAAGAUUUAAAUUUAAGAUCAGAGGUACUGAUCUUAUUCUAAAUAGUGAAAAGAAUUUUCUAUAAAAAUUUCAUCGGAUUUGAAUUUUCUUACACCGUUAAAUUCACAAACAUAUUACAUCGACCAUUAAAAUUGUCAAUUUUGAGACCUUUUAAUCACUAACCAAAUGAUACUGGAAUGGAGUGAAAAAUUAUUUUUCGGAAAAAAGGGUUUUUUCAUAGAAUGCCUCCUUUUCCAAUUUUGGAUUAUUUGGUUUGAGAAAAACUAGUAUUUUUGAAAAAGUUUCUUCUAUAUUUCAUGAAAAAUUUGUGAUUUUCUUUUUCAAUAUUUUAUCUGAAAAAUUAAAACACUAGUAUUUUGUGAAACCUUGAAAAAACUGUUUUAAAAAAAACUAGUUUUUCUCGUAGCCAAACAGUGAAAAUUUUGAAAAUGGUUUUUUUUUUCAAUAAAAACCUUUUUUUGCAAAUAAUUUUUCGUGCUUCUUCAAAAAAAACCAAACAUCGCAUAAACUAAUUUUAUCAAAUAAUUCAAUAAUUCUUUUUCCUCCGCAAAAAUUGUCAUACUUUAUUCGAACGUGCAUCAUGCACAUAAUAAUCUUAUAAAACUUUAAAAUAAAUUUUUUUAUUUCUUUCAAUUUGAGAUAAUAAAGUAUGAAUAUUGAUGACUUAGCAAACAUAGCCUCAAUUUCUUUUUUCUUUUUCUCUCUCUUUUUUUUUUUUUUUUUUUUUUUUUAGGAGAGAAUGAUAAUAGGCCAACGGUUUUGUUCAAAUUUAUUAAAGAUGAACUCAGCAAGAAAAGUGAAGCAUUUAUUCAUUCUGAUUAGAAAUGAACUCAACGAGAAACUUGAAGCAUUCACGCUUCCAACGGUCGGUUUAACUUUAAUUAUUAUUAUUAUUUAUAUAAAAAAUAUAAUAAUAUAUAUUAUAUAAUAUAUCUUUAUAUUGGUUAAAUUAUAGAAGAUUUUUUUUUUUAUAAAUACCUUCUUUUUUUUUGACUUUCAAAAAUCUAUAUUUUGCCCUCUUAAAAUUCUAAAAAUAUGCUCACCGUCCUUACUGCAAGUGGUAAAAGACUUAGUAGUUUUUUAAUAUAUUUUCAUCAUUUUGAAAGUUAUUUUUCUUAUAAAAUUAUAAAAAAUAAGCGGAAUAGUGAUGGAACUUGACUGAGGAGGGGGCCAAAUGCAAUAACUUGGAAUGGUGAGGGGAUAAAAUAUAGAUUUUUGAAAGUUAGCGAGGAAAAGUAAAUAAAGGGUUUUUUUUUUUGUAAUUUAACAUUAAAUUUUAAAGCUUUAUAAAACUGCAUGCUAACGUUAAAGGAGUAACUUCAAUUAAAUAAAACUUCCUUUUGAACAUUUUGAUAAAACUUUAGUAGGGAUGCAAAUGGAUCUGGGUUGGAGCUACCGCCCCGAUCAGCCCCAAAUAGGGUAGUAAGCGAGAAUAAAAAAUAUAAAAAUAUAUAAUCCGUCCCGAAUCCACGACGAUCCGUCAAGUAAAUGGAGCGGAAGGCCGAAGGCUGGAGACCAUUUUCUUCCUUCAAUCUAUUCUGAUCCGUCAAAAAUCUACCCUAAUAGGACGGUACGUCAGAGCCACAAAUAAAAUAAAAAAUAACUCGCUCCAAAUCCGCCCCGUCCCGACAAGAAAUAGAACGGCUCCCUCCCCCGGAUCCCCCAUUAGGGAUCAAAUUGCUAAACUUUGAAAGUUCAUGAAGCCUUUUGCAAACAACUUAAACUUUAGGGGGGCCUAAGGAUAUUUUCCCAAAAAAGUGAAAAAAAACAUAAACCCCCCUCCCUCAGUCCCUCCCUCUCCGGCGGUGGCCGUGAUCUCUCCGCGACUACACAAACCCACCAUCUCCGCGGCGAAGCCCUCUCUAGGGUUUCUCUCUCUCCUCCCCCAUUCCCCCCCCCCCUUCUCUCUCUCUAGGGUUUCUCCCUCGCCGCCCCCUUCUCGAUCGGAUCCCUCCGCCCCAUGCCCCUCAGAUCAGGCGGGAGGCAGAUCUCCUUCGAGAUCCUCGCCGGCGACACAUCCGGCGACGACGGCGGUGGCGGAGGAGGCGGCGGGGAACCGCCCCGCCGGAAGCGGAGGGCGAGGGGAUCGAAGAGGAAGAAGAGGCCGAGCUCGGUGGCGGAGGAGCCGAGCGUGGCGCCCCCGAUCGGAUCGGAGCAUCGGAAGCCGCUCGCGCCGGAGAAUGCGCUGUGCGAGGACGAGAUCGGGUUCAAGAUGCUGGAGAGCAGGUCGGUGGUGGAGACCGUGUGCGAGGGCGCGGUGGUGGAGAGCUCGAAGGUGAGCUCGGUGUCGUACGUGGAGUUGCGGCAGAGGAAUGUGAACGGCGGUGGUGUGGGUGACGAGGUUGGGGACGAGGCUGCGGCGAGUGCGAGGGAGAGCUCCGCAGGGUCAUGGAGGCCGGAGUCGAAUGGGAGUGUUACCAAUUUGGCAAAGGAGAAGUCGCUGGAUUGGAAUCAGGUGGUCGCCGAGGAUCCCAAUAUUCUUCGAGGUAUUUUCUUUGUAGCCGCAUUGUAUUCGAUGUGAAUUUACCUGAGAAUUGUACUCAAUCUGUCCAAUUAGUGGAAUGAAUACAUAGAUUGGUUGCUAAGGACAGUUGAAGUGUCAAAGAAGUUGUGAUCAUCUACAUAGGUUUUUGUUUUGUCCUUUUUUUGUUAGAAAAGUAGCUAUGAAGGCAUGCAGAGUUCUGGGUGAGCUUAUUAUUUAUAUUCAGUUUUGGGCUAUUUCAUACCUUGUGAUUCGAUUACAUUCGUCAUCAGGUAGUGGUUUAUGUGUAGUUGUUGUGGAUGUCCGAAACCGUGAUAUUAGAUUCAUCAGACAAUCUUAUCCCUUUUGUCAGCCACAGUUUUGGGAAAAAGUAUCGUCUUUCUGAUGUAGGUUAGCACCAGGGACAAGAUAAAUUUUCCGAGUUUGGCUUUAUGAAUUUUGAAGCAGUUUUAGUUUGGCUAAUCUACUCUAUUAUAGUCUAGGCAAUGGUCUUGAUGAACUCUGCAUUUGAGCAAUAAUUGGUCUGGGCAAGAAUUUAUCGGCGUCUAAGAUUGUUGGUGCAUGGCGUGAGUGGAACUAAAUUGGCUAGCACAUGCUGAUAUAUAGUCUUUAACUAGUUCCAUUUUUCGCCUCCAUAUAAAAUGUGCAAGCGCUGAUUGUCAUUUAGCGGUUCCUCCAAAUUUGUUUUCAGUAUUUUCCGUUGCCUGUUCCUUUCAUAGUAUUUCCUUCUAUAGUUUGAUCUUAAAUCUCUUUUUUGUGACGGUUCGCAAGAAAAGCAAGUAUUGAGAAUUUAAUCCUUGUUAGGGAUACUGUAUGUAAAGUGGGAUGCUUUAUUAUGUAAUUAGGUGCCUUACUAAAUAUGAUUUUCACUUGGAACACUCAUUUGUUGUAACUUGGUGGAAACUUCAUUCUUCCGUCGACAAAUAUAUACAUUGUCGACUUGUCGUAACUCGUAUAUAUCUACAUGCAUUUAUUGAUUGAUUGCAGAAGUCUCUUCUAGUGCAAAAUCACCAUUCGCGUACUUUGUCGGAGAGAUUUAUGGUGGCAAUGCAUUAAGGAGCACAAUUGCUGUGGGUAAUGAGAAGAAACGGCAAAGAGUCUACAAUACAAUGUUUCACGUGCCCUGGAGAUGUGAACGGGUACUUACUAAACUUGUUUUUGCCCUGAAUUUCAGCAGUUAGAUAGUCCUUGUAAAAAGUUAUAAUUUGUUCGAUUUGGCACUUUAAGCUAUUUAUGAUUUGGCUUAGACAUGAUAAAUUUGUAAUUGAUUUGGCUCAAGGGUAUAAAUUAUCUUGUAAUGAUUGAUAAUUUUAGACAACAUGAACAUUAUACUCAGUUGUAGAGUCAGGGACAAAGAGAUGCUAUCUUUGGUUAAUUUAUGAUGCAAUCAUAGUUCUGAAUAUUUUCAUGAUUUUAUUGUCCUUAACCACUAAUAUAUGAUGUUUUUAGUUCAUUGUUUUCUCAUUUCGAAGUGUCCAUGCUUUUCUUUUCGGUGUCUUCAUGCAUUAGGUUAUAUUUCUCAUCAAAUUUUCUUUAGAAAUCCAUCUCUCAUGCUUGAUUACAAUGCUGCAGCUUAUUAUUGCGGGCUUCUUUGUCUGCUUGGAUUCCUUUCUGUCUUUAUUAACUAUUAUGCCAGCCAGAAUUCUAAUGACGAUUUGGAGGGUGCUUAAGACGAGGUGGGUUGCAUCUUUCAAGUGAUUAUCUUUCUUUAUCUUUUUGAAAGCAAAUGUUACUGUUGUUGCAUCCACUCAUAUUCACAAUUUCAUUUGUAGCCUCCAAAAAGUUAUGUGUGGGUCAGUGGUUGUUUAAUUUAUUUAUUUUUGUAGUCUUCUGCAAUGACAAGCAUGGAUCAAUGAUUGUUUACUGUUUAGUCAUGUUCACCAUUGAUUCAUAGAUUUGUUUGGAAUUUUUGUUUUCUUUUUUUUUUUUUCAAGCAAUUAGUAUAUUUACUUCCUGAUGCCCUAUGAUAUAAUUUAGGUUUGUUGUAUCCAUAUUAUCAAGGAAUCUUACUGACUUAUCAGAUCUGGGAUUUUCGAGUCUUCUUCAAUCGUCCUUUGGAACUACAAUGCUUAUCUACUACAAAGAAAAUCCCUACAGCUAUCUCCUUGUGUACUAUUGAUGAAAAGGCAAGGCAAAAAGAAAUCGUUCCACCAAUUUCAGCCUAUAGAUUAUAGAGAAGAUUAAUACACGUACAUGUUUAUAGGCCGAUUGCUCCUUACCUAAUAAAAAUGUCUUCCCUGUUAAGAACUUGCAACAGGACUAAAUCUUACCAUUAAAUAGGGCAAUUAGCAUGGUUACUUCCUGAACUCCCAACAAGUUGCAACUGGUCCCAAAUCUUCAAUUUAAUAGAUUAGUCCUUGAAACUUAAGCAAUUACUCCAAUGCCUUCGCUAGAUUUAUUAGACAUCCUAAUUGUCUGCCUUCCAUUGUUCAUGUAGCUGGCUCCUAUUAGGUGCUAAACUUC